rnacentral:lncRNA from 1 species
AUGUAGUGGUCAGUUUUAAACAAAGUGCUAUAGAGGGGUUCUAUGAGUCUAUUCUUUCAAAGAUGAUCAUUGCUACAAAAUAUAAUGAUACAUACAUAUGGAGUAAAGAAAUUUACAAGUCUCAUUCAUAUAUGAUAAUGUACUACUCUGUACAGAGCCCCAAACUAAAACAAAAGAUAGGGAAGCAAAAAGUUAAGAACAAUAAGUGGAAACCUAAAAUAUGAUGGGUGACCUUAUCAACAUUUUCUUCCAAUACAUAUUUCACAUAACCAAACCAUUAUCUCCAGCACAAGCAACAUAGUUUAGUGUAGUCAGUUCUAUUCAAAAUCUAUUAUUUGUUGUACAACGGAUUUCAGCUUCAAAAGGCAUUUGAGUCGUCAAAGGUGAAUUCCCCAUGUAAGCACAUCUGGUUCUGCAUGUAGACAUAAACAUUUAAGUUCCGAUUCACUUGCCCCUGGCCACGUAUCUGCGAAAAUGGAAAUCCAUUUUGCAUAUCUUGCAAGUCAUGACUGACAGGGCCAUUUCGGUUUAGGCUGAUGUUCCGACUUCUGACCUAUCCACGUUAUCACAUCUUCUGACAAACUGGUCAAGAGUUCUCUGCCUUGAAGGGCUAUGCUCAAUAGUAGUAUGCUUUGCAGGGCUACUCAAUGGCUGAUUAUUUGGCACAACUAAGGUGUUCUCAUGGCCAUCUAAACAUCUGAUUUUUCAAUAACUGAAAUUCAGAAUGGUUUCUCAAAAACAUCAAAAAGUAACUCUCAAAUACUACUUGAGUAUAAAUCUUGACAAAAUAUGAAUAUAAACCAGAAUGGAAACCUUGUAGCUAAGCAUUAUGUACAUUUUGCAUUACAUAUGAUAGUUCAAGAAGAUGUAGAAAUGUACCUGCCCCAAAUUAUCCAGUUUGAAUUGCACCACAUCCCUAUGAUGUAAAAAUUUAUAUCAUCAAUGCAUAAUAAAUGUUAAGUCAAUGCUAUACCAAACAGCGAAAGACUGCAGAAAUAACAGAACCUACCAUAUGAUGUCGUGAACCGUAUCAUUUGCCAACAAUUAGUAUAUAUUUACUGAUGAGACCUGCAAACAAGAACUAACUAGUCAUAAAAACAGAAGAGCACAUGUUGUCUUUGCUACUCAAAAAUUUAGAUGUGAGAGUUCUUUUCAUUUGAGAUUAUCUGUUUUCUUAAUGUUGUCAUGCAACUAGUAACAACUCUCUCCUUUCUACUUAAUGAGUGUGAGAAUACCAGGCCAAUUCUAUGAGCACGAUCUUUGGCCUGAAUCAGGUCACCUGGAGUCCAGGAUUGUUCUGCAAAGCUUGCAGCAGUUAAAGUUAAUCCAACUCCCCCAGCUUUAACGGAUAGCUGCAUGAUAACGUGUCACAUGAAAUCAUUAUCACAAAUACUAACCCAUACAACAGAAAAGAUGCUUAUAACGGAAACAAUUGGAAGAAAUGCACAACGAAAAAUACCACCAUACCACAGCCGCUUUGAUAUAAUCCUUUUCCUAAAAAUCUAACCAAUUGUUGCCUUCAUGCACCGGGUGUACCUCCAUCAAUCCGGAUGCAACCCACUUUUUUCUUCUGGAAAUUUUCAACAGUUUUUUAAGUGUCUAUAAUUUCCAAUAUAAAAAAAAAAAUGAGUAAAAUUGAAAUGGUCUUACAAGAAGGCACUCAUGUAUCGCAUCUAUCAUUGGCUGAUGGUGCGCAAAUAUAAAAAACUUGCAACCUGCCUGCAGUGAUCACAACAUAUUACACGUGAUAACCACCACUAGCCCAUAUGAAAUAGAAAGAUGGAAGCAAGAGAAAAAAAAUUGAAGCAAUCAAACUUUCAAAUUAAGCAUACACAAUGAUUUGGGGCGACAGGAAGAUGGAUGAAAUAUAAGAAUUAACACAUAGUCUAGUUUACAGUUCGUGUUUGUUUUGGUCACCACUCAGACCAGCCAACGUUGAAACCAAUAAUAAUUGUGGCAUACGUAUUAAAAUGUCAUAUGCUGACAUUUUCACUACACUGUUCGGCCAAUUUAAUUCAUUCAACUUAUGGUCCUACAUUAAGGGGCACCGACUGCAAUAAAAGCAAUAAGAAAAGACCAAUUUAACCAACAUUGAACAUAUUUUAAACUAUUGGAUGAUAAAAAACCAUGCAUCAUGGAAGCACACCAAUCAAAGGAGAUGGCAGGGAAACUAGAGAAGUUGAGAACCUAACUUGACUUUCUUAUAGUACAUACAGGUGCAGUCACUAAUUAUAUAUCAUGAUUCAGUUUUGAUCAUAUACCAGUCAAAAUGAUUUAAACUACUCCAAUAUUGGCCAAGGCCUGAGAAAAUGUUGCAGUAAAAACUAUAGACCUAUCAUAGUUCUAGGUAAUAAGAAAAACUUCCAAACAAAUUGUACAAGUCAAGAUUAUGUUCAGGGCUUCGUCCAUGCAAACCUUGUUAAUCAGAUUCUUUUGAGUAAAUUUAAGAGAUUCAGACUCAUCUUUUGAUUUGGGAGACUUAAUUUUGUCUUUUACCACCUCCAACUGCAGUAUAAAAAAGAGAAACCAAUAUUGAUUAGAUUUUACCACCUCAGACGCAAACCAAAUAUGGAGAGCACAUAUUACCAUUUCCAAGUCAAAUAACCUAAUUUUAGAAAGAAAACUUACCACAAUCUUACCAAUAAAAAUUGGUGAGCAAAUUUUUGAACCAUUUUCAAAGUGGAAGUUUUAGUAAAAUACUCAUAAUCUAAACAACAAUCACAUAGUUCAAAUAAAUGAAAUCCACAGUCCACUUUUUUGAAUAUCAAUAACCCUAUAAAAUGUAAAUAGAAAAUAAUUUUAUAUGCCCAAAAUAAGCAUGUUGUCAAGACAUACAAGAAUUAUGUUCCAUAACUAACAUAAAUAACCAGAAUAUUGUCAAGACAUACAAGAAUUCUGUUUCACAACUAGUUCAAACAUAAAUAACCAGAACUGCAUGAUGCUAUACUAGUCUCGAGAUAUAGAUGCAAAACACACAGAGAUACCUUUCUUUUGCAUUCCAAGAAGAUCUAGGGAUUCUCCGAAAAGCAGAAAUUAUUACCUGCCAUGAAACAUAGCCUAUAAAGAAUGAGUAUGCAGGAACUUGUUCAAGGCCAAAGACAUAGCCCCUAAUUAUGGAAAAUUCAAAUUUUUCGAUAGAAAUAUAAAAUACAAUACUCUUGAUGAAGUUAGCAUGUGAAACCUGGUCAUAUUGGAAUUUCACCGCAACAUGCCCACUGAAAUGAAGAAAAAGUUUGACCGAAAACUUCGGCAGUUCUUUAGAAGGCUCAUCUGGUUAUAUAUAAAGCCACAUAUUCAGCUUGUUUUCAGAGUUAUUACCACUUCCUGAACACAUAUUCAGCUUGUUUAGAAGCCACUUGAACCCCUUGGCAGCUUCAAUUCCAACUAUGAUGGAAAAUCCAACAAGAAAUAAGCCUGGGAAACCACAUUUGCAAAACAAACCCACUCAAUAAUGCUAAAUGCUAAUCAUCCUGCAAUCUUAUUUCCAUCAUGUCAAAUGAGAGAAUGUCAUUUAAUUCUGCUGAAGUUUGCAAAAUUGUUUAGAGAUGAUUCACUCAUUUUUUUCCCUAAAUCUUUACCCUAUGUUAUGUGACAUCCUAGACAAAAGAAAGUUCUAUAUAUGUUUAUUGUUAUGUAAUCCUUGUUCAGAUGGCCAUAAAUCCUGAAAUGUUCACACGCUAGUAUAGUUCAGCAACCACGAACCAAAUCUUAACAACUGUUCUCAAAGAAUCCAAAAUUCCAACCAUACAAAAAGAAAGGCAAAAGAAAUAAAGGAUGAUCAAGGGGAGAGAAUGAAACAUGCACUAUUCAACCAACAACCAGACAGUAGCAACUGAGAAUAAGUUACAUGGCUAGAAAAGUAAAUGCCAAAUUCAACUGAAGAUGCCAGUCUAGGGCAGUAUCAAAGCAAUUUGCUUAAAUGGCAUAGAUUUAGAUACACCAUCCACCCACCUCCGGCACAUGGAAAUAGAGCAUAUGCACUUGAAAAUUUUUAAUGAUUUCUUACAUAUGUGCAGUGACACAAUUUUAUUAAUUUGUUUGUUAUAGUCUUUAGUCUCAUUGACCACAACGGAAAUAGAAGGCCAUAUGCAUGUCCACACACAUAAAAUCUCAAGCAAUAACGUCAAUUUGGGAAAAAUAUUCAAAAUCAGUCUCCAAAAAUUACUACAGCUGUAAAUAUGAUCCAAAAGCAAUAACGUGAAAUCAGUGAUCCAAGUAAAUAUUAGAAUCAUCGAUCAACAAGGGGCUUAUUCAAAUCAACUACAAAGUUCUGUGCCAUCAUCUUGGUAUUGAAUAUGGACAGAGGAUUUGGGUUGAAAUUCAGACGAGGGUUGAAGUUUGGGAGGAUUUGGUUUUGAAACUAAGAGAAACUAAGCACUUCGAAAAAAAAAAUUAAGAAAAACAGAGAAUUGAAAAAGAGAGUGAAAGCAUACUUUCUCUUUUUUCUCCAAACCUCAAACCCUCUUCUUUCCACCAGUAGUGCACCUCUUGUGCAAAGAAUUCCUAGAAAUACCUGAAACACAACAAACAAACGCAUUAGAUACGGUAUUGCAAUUGAAUUCUGUGAAAGCAUAAAAAAAUUUGGCAGGUGCCGUGGAAGCUCCACUGGGAAAGGGCUUCUUCUUCUUCUUCCUUUUUUCCAAAAGAUAAUUUGUUUCUUCUUCAAGAUUAAGUUGGUACAACUUCUUUGAAUCAAUUAUUAUAAAAUGAACAAUUUUAAGAGAAUUAUUACAAUGAUUUUACCGACAAUGAUUUACAACAACAUUUAGAUCAGAAACAAAGUGAAUUAAUUGGUUAGCAAUUCAACAUCAUCUCAAAAUACAAGGAGAAAGAAAAUCUGGAAAAGACAGAACAGGGGAAGCCGACGAUGCAGGGACUCACCAACUGACUACGGUCUACGGCUACGGCAAGGUCCCAAAACCAGAAGACGACGAGGAUCCCAGGAAAGGCCGCGACACGUGGAGACGCCGGCGAGUGUGACUGAGACGAGAUUCGAGUGAGACUGAAAGAGACGAGUGGGCUAGUGUGAGAGAGAAGAGAGAGUUUCAGUCAGAAUUGAGAGAGACGUUAUAUUUGAGAGAGAUGUAAGAAAACCCAGGAAAGAUAAAGAACACUAGAACAGUUAUUUUGAAUUUUUUUUUGUUUUUUAGAUAUGUUCUUUUUUUUUUUGUAUGAAUGAACAUCAGAAAUUAAGGUUUAUAAAGGAGUGUAAGCAUUGACUGUACAUCAAUAAUCAAUCAGAUGUUGUUUUAUUUUUAAAUUAUUUAAAUUUAUAAAUAUAAGUUAGCUCAAUUUUAAAAUUUGAUUAAUUUAAAGAGAUAAAUUUUGUCCAACACAAAGAAAAGGAUUUUAGGUCUUUUUAUAAAAUUAAAUAAAAAAAUACUAUGCGCAGUCAGGUUGCAGGUUGCAGCGAUAUUGGCGUGGGAUGCAUCCGACAGGCUAUGGGAUACAGCGACGCGGGAUGAGAUUGUGGCGGCGUGCACGGACAGCGGCCGAACGGCGUUAGGAAAAACGGCAGUGUUUGAUGUAUCGAAAUAACCGUCUCCAGUACCGACGACGAGUUUUGGGAGUGGACCUAGACCGAUUCAAGAUAUAAUUUAUCGAUUUUUUGGCCAAAUUAAUUUAUUUAAUCUAAUUUUGAUAAAAAUAACAUAGUUUCAUCAAUUAUAUAUAUUAAAUUUUAAUUAUUUAAAAAUAUUCCUUUUAAACGUAUUUGAGUGACUUUCCCAACAAAUAUAUUUUAUCCUUUUUUAAUUCCUUUUUGCAUGGAGCAAGAAGCCCCUAUCCUCAUGUGCAGGCAUUUCACUGAGGGACCUCACAGCCUUUAACUUUCCAGUGCUUUCCUAGCUUUUUGCUGCCGCAGCACCACCGAUCUCGUUAGAUCGGAGAGAGUGAUGGCGGAAUUGGAUGCUGCUGAAUCAGAAAAACGACAAACGGAGCAGGUUGAAAUGGCGAAGGAAGCGUGCCUUUGCCUUGUGUCGUAUGAAAAGUUGUUCGUGAUCAAACUAAGCAAUUUAAAGAAACAAGAAGUUGAUGUCAAAGAUUGGACUUGUUUGCCUCCACCACUGUUCGAUUUCGAGUUGAAACUUCCAGAGCCUGAUUUGUGUCCUUUCGAGUUCGACUCCAAGAUCUAUAUGGCAGUGUCCUCGGAGCCGGGUAGACUUGGGAUUGCGAGGAUCUCCUGGCCAAUCUACGAAUUCAAAUUUGGGGAGCGCAGAAUUGAGCGUGCAGAAUCACUGGAUGAUGCACCGCUCCCUUUUCACGAAGCAUUCAUCGCAAACACGCCAGGCUCAGGCGAUGUUUACUUCUAUAUGGAAUCACAGGUCAAAGAUUCAUCUGGCUCUUACGUCCUUUGUUCUGGAUCUAGAGUUUGGAAACCGUUAAUCGCUCCUCCUACUGUCAGCGACUCAAUUCGAUAUAGCAUGUUCGUCGUCGACAACAACCUCUUUUUUUCAUCGAGGGAAAGGGGAAGGGGAAGAGACACCUGUUUGGCCCGCUUCGACCCCAUAAAAGAGAAUUGGACGACCGAACCCGCCUCUGUUAACAAUCUUUCGAACUUCAUAAAGGAUAGGCUCAUUACCGGUGAUAACUACGGUCUUAUUACUUAUCACCCACACAUUUCUGUGUCCCUUCCGGGUCUUGGCAGCAGCAACUACACCGUUUGCCUUACAAAUGAAUAUGUGUUGGAACCUCCUAAGGAACCUUUAGACAAGGUCUUUGCCAUUCUCGUUAACCACCAGAAUGGCCGUGUCGCAUUAUAUCAAUACCUUGAUGUAUGUUUUGAGGGUAUUCAACCCACUGUGGCAGAAUUGGGCAGAUUCAAUUUGAUUGACCUUGGCAACGGGAAGCUGUGUGCAAUACUCUCUGGGGGUCUAGUUUAUUCCAAAUCUAAUUCAUCUGUGCUCUGCUUCUCAGUUUUCACACUGUCCGUGGACUUUGCAGCAUUGCAAUUUGACAGUGGGGCUCCUCCCAUGGAGCGAGAUUUCUUACAAGUGACGGUCCAUAGGAAGAGUGUCUUCACCAUGGAGGACUGUGGGCUUACUAAUCAUAUGCGCCAUGCGUUUGUUUGGCCACCUACUAAGGGAGGAAGAUUUCAGCACAGGACAACUAUGUCAUAGUAACAUUUCUUGUUAUUUCUUGUGGCUUGUUAUUAUCCUUAGUCGUUUUCAAUAGGAUUACCAAUGAACAAUGAAUUAAAUAUUAAUGUCUUUCAGUAAUAUAAUCUUGGUUGAAUUGUGUCUAUAUUCUCUUUUGCUCGUCAUACAAAAUUACCUGUGCUUUCUGAGAUAUUUGCAUUAUUGCUGCUGAUCAUAUUAAAUGAUCAACUCACUGCUUUCUAUUUCAAAAUACAUGAUGCAUUUUAAAUAAUUAAUUGAACUAAUAGUCCACACGUAUUAUGUCAAAAGAAACAUGUUUCACAUAAAAUUAGAAUGACUCUUGUUUGAAAAAAUUAGUUUAAAAAUUUGAUUUGAGUCAUUUAUAAUAUUGUCGAUUGAUUAUAUUAUUGAUUAGAUUAAGAAAAUAAGAAAAUAAAAAGAAUGUCCAAGUUACAAAAAUUCAAAUCAAGUUUCUAAAUGAUUGAAGGGAAAUAAUGAUGUUAUUUUUAGUUUUUUUUUUAAUGUCAUUCCUGACAUGAUUUUUUUAUUUAUAUGUUUGUAACUUUGUAUAAAUUUAAGGGAAAAAGUAACAUUAUCAGAAUAGGUCAUGUUCCUAAACAAAAUAAGCUAAUGUGGUGGUCAGUUUUAAUGGAAGUGCUAUAGAGGGGUUCUAUGAGUCUAUUCUUUCAAAGAUGAUCAUUGCUACAAAAUAUAAUGAUACAUGCAUAUGGAGUAAAGAAAUUUACAAGUCUCAUUCAUAUAUGAUAAUGUACUACUCUGUACAGAGCCCCAAACUAAAACAAAAGACAGGGAAGCAAAAAGUUAAGAACAAGAAGUGGAAACCUAAAAUCUGAUGGGUGACUUUAUCAACAUUUUCUUCCAAUACAUAUUUCACAUAACCAAACCAUUAUCUCCAGCACAAGCAACAUAGUUUAGUGUAGUCAGUUCUAUUCAAAAUCUAUUAUUUGUUGUACAAUGAAUUUCAGCUUCAAAAGGCAUUUGAGUCAUCAAAGGUGAAUUCCCCAUGUAAGCACAUCUGGUUCUGCAUGUAGACAUAAACAUUUAAGUUCCAAUUCACUUGCCCCUGGCCACGUAUCUGUGAAAAUGGAAAUCCAUUUUGCAUCUUGCAAGUCAUGACUGACAGGGCCGUUUCGGUUCAGGCUGAUGUUCCGACUUCUGACCUAUCCACGUUAUCACAUCUUCUAACAAACUGGUCAAGAGUUCUCUGCCUUGAAGGGCUAUGCUCAAUAGUAGUAUGCUUUGCAGGGCUACUCAAUGGCUGAUUAUUUGGCACAACUAAGGUGUUCUCAUGGCCAUCUAACAUCUGAUUUUUCAAUAACUAAAAUUCACAAUGGUUUCUCAAAAACAUCAAAAAGUAACUCUCAAAUACUACUUGAGUAUAAAUCUUGACAAAUAUAAAUAUAAACCAGAUUAGAAACCUUGAAACUAAGCGUUAUGUAUAUUUUGCAUUACAUAUGAUAGUUCAAGAAGAUGUAGAAAUGUACCUGCCCCCAAAUUAUCCGGUUUGAAUUACACCACAUCCCUAAGAUGUAAAAAUUUCGAUCUUCAAUGCAUAAUACAUGUUAAGUCAAUCCUAUACCAAGCAGCGAAAGACUGCAGAAAUAACAGAACCUACCAUAUGAUGUCGUGAACCGUAUCAUUUGCCAACAAUUAGUAUAUAUUUACUGAUGAGACCUGCAAACAAGAACUAACUAGUCAAAAAAACAGAAGAGCACAUGUCUUUGCUACUCAAAAAUUUAGAUGUGAGAGUUCUUUUCAUUUGAGAUUAUCUGUUUUCUUAAUGUUGUCAUGCAACUAGUAACAACUCUCUCCUUUCUACUUAAUGAGUGUGAGAAUACCAGGCCAAUUCUAUGAGCACGAUCUUUGACCUGAAUAAGGUCACCUGGAGUCCAGGAUUGUUCUGCAAAGCUUGCAGCAGUUAAAGUUAAUCCAACUCCCCCAGCUUUAAUGGAUAGCUGCAUGAUAACGUGUCACAUGAAAUCAUUAUCUCAAGCACAAAUACUAACCCAUACAACAGAAAAGAUGCUUAUAAUGGAAACACAUGGAAGAAAUGCACAACGAAAAAUACCACCAUACCACAGCCGCUUUGAUAUAAUCCUUUUCCUAAAAAUCUGUAACCAAUUGUUGCCUUCAUGCACCAUGCACUGGGUGUACCUCCAUCAAUCCAGAUGCAACCCACUUUUUUCUUCUGAAAAUUUUCAACAGUUUUCGUAAGUGUUUAUAAUUUCCAAUAUAAAAAAAAUGAGUAAAAUUGAACUGAUCUUACAAGAAGCCACUCAUGUAUCGCAUCUAUGAUUGGCUGAUGAUGCGCAAAUAUAAGAAACUUGCAACCUGCCUGCAGUGAUCACAACAUAUAACACAUGAUAACUACCAAUAGCCCAAACGAAAUAGAAAGAUGGAAGCAAGAGAAAAAAAAUUGGAAGCAAUCAAACUUUCAAAUUAAGCAUACACAAUGAUUUGGGGCCACUGGAAGAUGGAUGAAAUAUAAGAAUUAACAUAUAAUCUAGUUUACAAUUCGUGUUUAUUUUGGUCACCACUCACACCAGCCAACGUUGACACCAAUAAUAAUUGUGGCAUACGUAUUAAAAUGUCAUAUGCUGACAUUUUCACUACACUGUUCAGCCAAUUUAAUUCAUUCAACUUAUGGUCCUACAUUAAGGGGAACCGAUUGCAAUAAAAGCAAUAAGAAAAGACCAAUUUAACCAACAUUGAACAUAUUUUAAACUAUUGGAUGACAAAAAACCAUGCAUCAUGGAAGCACACCAAUCAAAGGAGAUGGCUGAGAAACUAGAGAAGUUGAGAACCUAACUUGACUUUCUUAUAGUACAUACAGGUGCAGUCACUAAUUCUUUAUUGACAUUUUAUUGCUUUGAAGCAGUGGAGGGGAGCAAUACCUCAAUGAAAGUUCCGAAUUAGUAUAUAUCUGGAAUCGAAUAUAUCAUGAUUCAGUUUUGAUCAUAUACCAGUCAAAAUGAUUUAAACUACUCCAAUAUUGGCCAAGGCCUGAGAAAAUGUUGCAGUAAAAACUAUAGACCUAUCAUAGUUCUAGGUAAUAAGAAAAACUUCCAAACAAAUUGUACAGGUCAAGAUUAUGUUCAGGGCUUCUUCCAUGCAAACCUUGUUAAUCAGAUUCUUUUGAGUAAAUUUAAGAGAUUCAGACUCAUCUUUUGAUUUGGGAGACUUAAUUUUGGCUUAGAAACCAAUAUUGACUAGAUUUUACCACUUCAAAUGCAAACCAAAUAUGGAGAGCACAUAUUACCAUUUCCAAGUCAAAUAACCUAAUUUUAGAAAGAAAACUUACCACAAUCUUACCAAUAAAAAUUGGUGAGCAAAAUUUUGAACCAUUUUCGAAGUGGAAGUUUUAGUAAAAUACUCAUAAUCUAAACAACAAUCACAUAGUUCAAAUAAAUGAAAUCCACAGUCCACUUUUUUGAUAAGCCCCAUGAACAAUAAUACAUAAUGGGAAACAACAUGAAAUGGAAAAAAGAGGAUAACUUUACCCUUUGAGGACGGAAUCGGAAAUGGGGUUUGGUGGGAAGGGUUGGGAAUGGUUGGCAGACAGUGGUUUUGAAAAAUGAUGUUGUUGUAGAUUGAAUUGUUGAGAAGAAGGAGGGGUAGAAGAGUCGCGAAGUUGAGCAAUUUUCUGGAAAGCAUGGCGUUCAAGAGAAUCGAGUUCUUGUGCGGUCCUCUACCUCCACUUCAAACUUCUUGGGUGACAACUCUUGAUACUUGCCAAAUUGUUCCUUCGCCUCGUCAUUCCGAUCAAGCAAAUUAUAAAUAAUUUUUUUGCAAAAGGUGUGAAUGGAGAGCGCCUCCUUGUCCUGGCCGACUUCAAGCUUCUGCUCUAGUAGCCACUUCAGCUCACUCACAACUUCAGUCUCAGCGUUUUCGAUACUGGAUUCUUCCAAAAUCUAAGGAGACAACUCUUGUAUUAGAAACUAUUUAACAAAUCAUUCCGAUUUCUAUUUAUGAAAACUUUUAAUUUUUUAAAAGAAAAAACGGUGAAUCCGAUUUUAUAUUUUCAAUUACAAAUUAGUGUAUUGAAUUUGAUCAAAUUAAAAAAUUUAGACGUCUGAUUUGUUCCUUUCUUCAAAUUACCAACAUAAAAAUUACUUUCCGCCUAAUUCAACGGCUAAUUUUUUUAUAUGAGGUUGAUACCUGAGUUAGGCUAAGUUAUAAAGUAUUGGAGGAUAUAUAGUGUUGUAACAUCGUUUAAUUUUUUGUUUUAAUAGAAAAAAUCUGAUCGUUCGAUUUUAUUGUAGAGAGAAUACAAAUUGAACCAUUCGAUUUGUGUGGAGUACUGAAAUCAAAUCCAGAAUUUUCUGUCUCGUCUGCCACGUGAAACUAGUACACAAAUCGAACCCAAAAUUUUCUAUAUUCAAUCUGUCCGAUUACAAUACCUCCAAUCGAACGAUUCGAUUUGUCUUACACAAUCCUCAUAUCCUGAUAAAACACCAUAUACCUCCGUAAUCCUACCAUACACCAACCCUCCCUUCAUAUUAAAAUUAAAAAGUUCUAAUUCAAAAUUGGAGAAACCAACUUGGACCAAAUUGAUCCUACCAUAAUUGACUUGUAUAGGUAAUAUGGGUCCCACAAUCACAGAGUGCACCAAUCAGCUUCAUCCAACUCAGUUCAUCGCCUAUGAAAAAUAUUAAGUUUCUUUGGCCAAAAAUGAAAUUACCAAAAAAAAUCCACCGUGUUACUAGUAGUCGUCUACUCUGCGUCCUAUCCGAGUCUCUCCGCUGUCUUCUGCUGUCGCCGGAGCUCAUCGGUGCGAGUUCUGCCAUUGCGUCAUUUCAGGUAGGCGUCCCCCUCGGCCCCUCUCUCUCAACUUCAAUUCGUUGCUAUUCAACUUGAAUUGCUCAUGGUUGUUCUGCUUUUGCUAUGAUAUCAUAUACAUAUACUGUUAAGUAUUAAGAAUUGAAUUGUUUGUGGACCAGGCGAGGCAGUUAUUGUUUUGAGAAUUGAGAUGGCGGUUGUUCAGUUUCAAGCUACUAUGUGUCUGAAUCGUCCCCUUGGCUGUUCUGAUGGGCGUCUAUGUUUUGCAAGACCUCAUCAUUUCCUUCCCGAGAGAUCCUCCUUCCCAAAUGCAGGCAAGUAAAGUCAACGCCUUUUCAAUUUUCUUUCCUUGCCAUUUGCCAAUCAACUCAUUGUUUCUUUGUCUUGUCAGCGCUUCAAAUUGCCCCCUUCAAGGACAAAUGCUUCCAUUGCUAAAUCAACUGUUACUCUCUGCUCUACCCAAUCACAAUCCCAAACUCCCCAAGUAAGCUACUUACAAAUCCUUACAAUUUCAUAUCAUAUCAUAUCAUAUCCUUCAAAUUCUCUCUGUCUGUUGUUGUGCAGGAGUUGUAUAUUGUUAAAGAAAAAAGUGUCUCCGUUGUCCUACUCGCUGGAGGCCAGGGGAAGAGGAUGGGUGUCAGUUUUCUUUCCUCUUGUUAUGUAUUUCAAACAAUUUUUUCUCACACUCACUCAUUCAUCUUUCUUAUCGAUCCAAAUAGGCUAACAUGCCCAAGCAGUAUCUUCCACUUCUAGGUCAACCAAUUGCACUCUAUAGGUAACAUCUCAGUUAUAAUAUAGUAUUGAAACUUAUCCUAAUCUUAAUGUUGGACCACCUAUUGAUGUUCAGUAUGAUAUUAUUGAUGCUAAGACCAUGAUUUCAAGAGACAUAAUUGGCACUCUAUUGAUUUUGUUUGGCCUUUGUAUCCUCUUAUGCUUUAUAGUGUGUUUCAUUCAUUCAUUUAUUCAUUUACAAUAUGACUUGAUAUAUAUAUGUCAAUCCUUUGUAGUUUCUACACUUUCUCGCGCAUGGUUGAAGUGAAAGAAAUCAUUGUCGUUUGUGAUCCUUCAUACAAGGACAUUUUUGAAGGUUUCUUCCCUUCCUCCUUAGCUUAAGUUCUAUAAAUCAUAUAUUUGUGUCUUGGUUACUAAUAAUUCUUUUCUUUUCCCUCAGAUGCGAAAAUGAAUGACAAAGUAGAACUUAAAUUUGCACUUCCAGGAAAAGAAAGACAGGAUUCUGUCUACAAUGGGCUGCAGGAAUGUGCAGUUUAUUUUUCAUUCUUCUGUUAAUUUAUUUAAGGGGGAAGAGUGGGUUUAAAUAUUAAUGAUUAUAAUUUUUACCCCAUCUUGGUUUAUUUCUUAGCUUUUCUUUCCAAAGAAUGAUAAUUAGGUUGGAGUAGAAUACUAAAAUUUUUAAUAUCUAGAUAUCCUUUUCCUUUUGCAGGCUGUUGAUUCAAAUUCGCAGCUUGUUUGCAUUAUGACACGUGACAUAACCAUCCAACUUAACAUGUCACGUGUCGCUGACUGACACGUCAUCAUAUCAUUAUGUGUGUCCAAACCAUGAGAUAACACGUGUCACCAAAGAUUCACAUCAACGCAUCGUUAACGGAAGAUGGGACAGACACUAAUAUGGUGCAAUUUUUUCAAUUUGGGAGAGACGUAAUUGAUAGAAUUGAAAUCUCAAGAACGUUUUGGUACACGACGUUAAUCUCCAUUUUAGGGAUUUAUUCGAGAAAGUAUAUUCUGAGGCUUGUCGCGCCAGGAGGAGCAGGCGGCGGGAGGAACGAGCUAGAGUGCGACAGUAUCUCGAACCUUCCGUGGAGAGUGACAACGGAGACGGGGACCGUGGGCUCCCAGAUGGUAACACUGGUGAUGGUGUCAUUGCCGCUUAAGAUGCAGAUCUUGAGCUGGCAAUGCUACGCGUAGUGGGUGGCGCCGUCCAGGACAUCGAAGCCACUCGCGACUUUGAGGAUGUGUUUUGUCGAUUUUUAGCAAAUCAACGGUGGUUCGAUAUCUAGUAGUUUGGGAGCGAAACCUACUCCUCUAUGCAGGUACCAGUUUUCUAAAAGUGCAUCAAAGUGCCUUCGAUUAGACGGGUGUUGAGAAUACAGAUAACUUAAAAGUUAUAAACCAAUAAAAAGAACAAAAAGAUAAAGUUUUCGAAAGGGAAAAUGUACUGAAAAUGGAAAGAAAUGCAUUGAAAUUAAAAGAAAACAAUAGAAUGCCUUCGACUGAGUCAAAGGACUUUAACAUGAAAAUUUAAAAUGCAAAAAGAUAAAUUGGACAAAGAAGAUAAAUAGAACUUGAAAGAUAAAUUUACUUGAAAAGAUAAAGUUUACAGAAAGAUAAAUUGAAAGAGUAAAAUAUGGAAGGAACCCUACAGAAAAGUUACUCGAUUGCAGACUCAGGAAUUCCUUAAGAUAUGAGUGUGCUUGAGUGUUUUUCUGAGUAAAAGUUUCAACCCCUAUUCCCUAAGAUCUCCUAGUUUUUAUAACCUGCUUUUAGUAACUGAUAAUUAAUUACAAUUAAUUAGAAAAUCACAGCAUUGAAUAUGUUUCCUUGGUAACUGUUCCUGCCUAAACGUUCCCCCUGAUUUCCUCGCGUGAUAGAAGCCUUUAACUUCUCUGCUACCAUAACUACCCGAAUCUCUUAUUCGAAUAAGCUAUUCGAUUAUCUGACGCAAGUCCCAUGGUCGAUUUGACUUGCUCGAUUUAUUGAAAGGUGGGCCUUGAAAUCAAAUCUGUGUCAAAAACUUCCAUUUAAUGCUUGCGUGUAUGUCUUUUCGAAAACUACUUAUAUCUUUGAUCACUUUACCACUUCGAACCCUUUGUCUUUAUCAAAAAUAUUUUUCGAUCAACAAAUUGCCCCCUUGGAUUAAUGUGUUUUACCUUCGAAAACAUUACUGGAAGAUAAAACACUUAAUCCACAUUCAAACUUCCGUUUUCAAAUCAGUAAUAAUUAUCAUUUAACCUCCCAUUAAUACUGAUCCACUCGACACGUUUUUCGAAACUCACGCCUUUCUCUUUCUUCCACUUCAUCUUCUUUGCGAAGUUACCUCUAUUCGCAUUCCUUCUACAGUAACGGCUACGGUAGCUCUUUAAAUUCAUCAAUCUCACCCCUGUUCAAAUUUUCUAAACUCAUUGCUCUCUGAAUUUCUCUAACAUCAAACUUCCUUACAGAAUCUUUAAUCUUCUGUUUCCUUUUCCUUCAUCUUACAAUAGCCGCAUCCUCUUCUCAUACUGCUACCCAAGACAAAGGUAAAGGUCAUGCAGUAGCACCACCGGCUCCUCCAGCCCUUCGUAUACUAAACCAAGUCAAUGAUGAAGUCAUUGACGAUCCUCAACUCCAAAUUAACAAUGCUAGAAUCUUAAUUCCUUUCACAAUAGGCGCGGAUACUCACUGUUUUCUCGGACCGAUUGAAUCCCUAGAAAAGGCGAAUAAAAAACUUUCUUUCUUUCCAAGUGCUGAAGGAGAACAUCUGUUGAUUAAUCAGCCUUUCAACACCUCCUACUUCAUUAAUAAAAAACCCUUCAGAAAUAAUCCAAAGAUUAAUCCUCGAGAGUUCAAUUUCACAGCCUGGUACUAGCGCCUUGAACCCACNNNNNNNNNNNNNNNNNNNNNNGAAUUCAGGAACUAUUAAGACUCUCCCAUUUCUCACUUAUAACGCUCCCUUGGAUGAUCGGGGCUGUGACUUGUUUUUGGAACAGGACAACCAACAGCUUCCACCUCCCUUGUGGAAUGAUAGGAAUGUCCCUUCUAGACGUAGCCGCUAUCACAGGGCUUCCAAUAAACCCACCAGACUGUACUCCUAACAUGCAGCCGAAGCGUCAAUAUAAUGUUGUCUUGACCAACUCCUACAGUGAUUUUAUUACUCAUAACAUGGGCGUGGAAGGCACUGAUGUUACAGACGAUGAACACGUAGCCUUCUUGUUCUACUGGCUAAAUGUAAUCCUUUUCUGUUCUCGAAGCGUCCAGAUGUCAAAGCUCUUUCUUCCCUUGGCUGGUCUGCUUCACGAAGGGAAAGUUCUUAAUCUGGCCAAACUUCUUUUAGGGCAUAUUUUUGAAGAACUUGGUCAAUUCGUUCAUUGUCUCCGAGACAACAGUAUCAUCAGUACAGGUGGCCCUCUUUGGCUUCUCCAACUAUGGCUUAAUGCUAUUUUCGAAAAAUUCAUGACAAAACCUGGAGGUGGUAGUACUGAUAAACAUCAUAUUGAAGGUUUUCGAUUAGCUGAUUACAAACCCAACUUUCCAAAUACACAAUCGGAUGAAGACCGAUUCUGGGCUGUUUUUUCUCUCUUCUAUUCCUGUGGCACCUGAUCAACCACUUUUACAACAACAUCAUGAUCAAGGGCACUCCACAUCCCAUGAUUCAAUUUAAGUCACGGGGUCUAUUCAACCACUUCAGACUGUUUUUCCACCUCCUCAUGUAACACAGGUGGUUGAUCUAACAACAGAUCCCUCGCAGCACUCUCCAAUAGACACUCAAAUACUUGAGUCGAACUCACCAAACAAUCAAGCUGCAAUUUCUACUGAGAACCGAGCGGCUCCAUACUCCGAUUCUGUCUCUCGAGUUGCUGAAACAACAAAUUCAGAUUCAUCUCGAUCCAAAGUUUUAGAAACUCCUCAAGGGUUUUCCAGCCCUCCUCAACAAGCUGGAUUUCAAACUCUCCCUAGAUCAGGUUCUGGAAAUUCAGGAGCUUCUACCAUACCCACAAGUGCUACAUUGGCUAACUUGAUCUUUGUCUUAAAUCGAGUUAUUCAAGAAGACGAAGUGCCUGUUCCUGCUCCAACACUCCCUAGACUUGCUUCAUCCAGUUCUCCAUUCGAAUUGGAUGUUGAUACUCGAGAGCAACUCCGGUUACUUCUUAAACUUUUGGAUCAUCCACCGGAUGCAUGGAUCAAAAAUACCCUUCUCAAUCAGCUUUUAUCUGACUUUUUAAACUCCACUUUUGAACUCCCAGCUUCUACUCCCUAUUCUGCCUGUAAGGCCCACAUUGGUUGGAGAGAGGAACGAAGUAUGCCUUAUAAGGGUGUGGAUACCUCUCCCUAGCAUGACGCGUUUUGACGAGUGAGUGUGGGGGGCUUCGGCUAUCAUCCCUAUCGUCAAAGGCAAAACCGUGAGGCCUUGUGUGCCAAAGCGGACAAUAUCGUGCUAGCGGGUGGUCUGGGCUGUUACAAUAUAUACUUCCAUAAAUCUUCCAAUAAACUCAUGGAAAAUAGCAUUCAUUGCUCGCUGAUACGUGGGACCAGCAUUUUUCAAUCCAAAAGGAAUAACCACCCAUUCAUACGUGCCUAACGCUCCAGGAAAACGAAAAAUAGUUUUUGACACGUCAUCUUCGGCAAUAAAGAUUUGGUUAUAACCUGAAUAACCGUCCAUAAAACUUAAGAUUUCAUUUCCUGCCGCAGAAUCAAUUAACAUAUCUGCCAUUGGCAUAAAAUAUUCAUCUUUUGGAGUAGCAUUAUUCAAAUCUCGGAAAUCAAUGCAUACCUUUAACUUCCCAUUUUUCUUCAUCACAGGAACAAUAUUCGAGACCCACUCAACAUAACGAGUAGUUUGAAUGAAUUUCGCUUUAAUCAAGCAUUUGAUUUCUUCCUUUAUUUUUCCAUUGAUUUCUGGAGCAAAACGUCUCGGAGUUUGCUUUACGGGUCUAGCAUUCGGUUUUAAUAGUAAUCGACGUUCCACAAGGGAACGAUCGAGACCCGGCAUCUCGUGAUAAUCCCAAGCAAAACAAUCCUUAAAUUCAUGUAAAAGAUUAAAGAGUUCGGUUCGAAAAGGAUCCAUGAGAUCUUUGCAGAUAUAUGUUAUUCGAACAUCAUCAAGAGUCCCUAAAUUAAUUUUUUCUAAGGGAUCUUGGUAUUCAAACCCUUUAUAAUAAUCAUCAUCUCUUACUGAAUAUUUCUCUAAACCCAAUGGUUCCAAAUCAUAGAUGCAAUCAAAAGUGAAUCAAUAUCAUCCUUAGAAUUAGAAAAACUUGAUCAUUAAUACUACUUUGAUUUUCUACACAAUGGGCCUGAGCCACUAAAUCGGCAGUUUGACUUACAUCAUUAUUGCCAUUACAUGAAGCAGUAAAAUUAUAACUAACUCAACUGAAGACGCUGAGUCGAUACAAUUAUAAUUAGAAAUACUACUAACCCUAUGUGAUUCUACUUCAUCAGAAGAAUCAUCUUUAUUUUCUACAGAAUAAAAAUUACUUAAAUAAUUAUGCAAUGUUACCAGGUAAUCGGAAACUCCUCAACGUGGUCCAUAGUGCAGAUCCACAAGACCUUCAAGGCAGACAAUCCCAACUAGUUGGAGUAAAACCUAAAUCUGGGUAACGUUUAGAGGCUUCAAUUUAGGAUUAUACAUCUUGAAAUCAAUAUGCAUUUGUUCGACAUAAAUAUUCGAAUCUGCCUUAAAGAUCUCAGGUUUGCCAUCCUUUGACCACAGAAGAACACUUUGAUGCACAGUGGAAGGUACUGCACCCACACCAUGGAUCCAGUCUCGUCCCAACAAAGCAUUAUAGCUUGCUUUUGAAGGAACCACCACAAACAUAGUGUUCCGCUCAGAUGAUCCAACCUUCACGGUAGGAGUUACCAAUCCUUUCGCCAGUGUCGAUACCCCACUAAAAUCCAUCACAACAAUAUUUGUGGGGACCAAAUCAUCAGAAUGUUUACCUACUUUCAUUAACAUUCUCUCGGGUAAAAGACCGAUUGCUGCCCCACCAUCAAUCAAGACUUUGUUUACCUUAAUUCCACUCAAAGUAGUGGUCAUAUGAAGUGGGCGAAGAUGAGACAUCUGCUUCUUAAUAGGCCGAAGGAAAUACCAUGGCUCAUCCUCAAUUCGAAUGAAGGAAAAAGCUUCUUCAUCCUCCAUAUCAUAAUCUUCCUCUGGGUCACCUUCAUACUCACCCAGAUAUUCGGUCGGAAUUAUCGAGAUUGUACCAACCAUGUCAUCAUCUCCUUCUUUAAAGUAAUCUUCUUCAUCAUCAACUUCUUUACCUUUAUCGACUGAUAAACCCAUAUUUUAUGAUAUAUUUUAUGCUUAGUUUGAGUGAUUUAUUCAAUCCUUCACCCACUUAUUCAUAUUAAUUGCAUGGUUUUACUUUCCCUUCCUUAUUAUGUGAUGUAUGUGAAAAACAUGUUUUCUAUGCUUUAAAAUUAAUUAUUUUAAUUACCUUUAUUUCCAUUCGAUGCCGUGAUUAGUGUGUUGAGUAGUUUCAGAUCUUCUAAGGCAGGAAUGACUCAAAGGAUGGAAAGAAAACAUACAAAAAUGGAAGGAAAGCACAAAACGGAGUUUUUGGAGAAAUUGGCAUCCACGCGAUCGCAUGGACGACGCGGCCGCAUGCCAAUUGCGAAGAAGCAGUGACGCGGCCGCAUGACUGACGCGACUGCGUGAAAAGAAAAACUCCGAAUGACACGACCGCGUGACCCACGCGGACGCGUGACAGAUGCCACGCACCAGAAAUUGCAGAAAACGCUCAUAGCGAUUUCUGAGGCCCUUUUUGGCCCAAAUCCAAGUCCAGAAGGCAUAGACCAGAGGUUAUGAAGUGGAAGAAUACAUCCAUUCAAAGAGAGUCUUCACUUUAGUUAGUUUUCAUGAUUUAGAUUUAGUUUAAAGAGAGGUUCUCUCCCCUCUCUUCUCUCUUUAGGAUUAGGAUUUAGAAUUAGGAUUUUAUUCGCUUUCCGGAUUAUCUCUUUAUCAGGUUCAAUAUUCCUUUUAUUUACUUUUGCAAUUUAAUUUAUGAAUUCUUCCAUGUUAUAGAUUACUCUUUUGAAUUAAUGUUAUUUGAGGUAUUUCAGUUUAAUCUUGCUUUAUUUUAUUUAUGUUGCUAUUAUUCCCAUCUGAAGACAUUUUUAUUCCAGUAGAUUUACUUUUCUCCUUUUGGUCUUGGUUAAGAAAUCAGUAACUCAGGAGUUAUCAAACUCAAACAUGAUUGAUAAUUGUUAUCUUNNNNNNNNNNNNNNNNNNNNNNNNNNNNNNNNNNNNNNNNNNNNNNNNNNNNNNNNNNNNNNNNNNNNNNNNNNNNNNNNNNNNNNNNNNNNNNNNNNNNNNNNNNNNNNNNNNNNNNNNNNNNNNNNNNNNNNNNNNNNNNNNNNNNNNNNNNNNNNNNNNNNNNNNNNNNNNNNNNNNNNNNNNNNNNNNNNNNNNNNNNNNNNNNNNNNNNNNNNNNNNNNNNNNNNNNNNNNNNNNNNNNNNNNNNNNNNNNNNNNNNNNNNNNNNNNNNNNNNNNNNNNNNNNNNNNNNNNNNNNNNNNNNNNNNNNNNNNNNNNNNNNNNNNNNNNNNNNNNNNNNNNNNNNNNNNNNNNNNNNNNNNNNNNNNNNNNNNNNNNNNNNNNNNNNNNNNNNNNNNNNNNNNNNNNNNNNNNNNNNNNNNNNNNNNNNNNNNNNNNNNNNNNNNNNNNNNNNNNNNNNNNNNNNNNNNNNNNNNNNNNNNNNNNNNNNNNNNNNNNNNNNNNNNNNNNNNNNNNNNNNNNNNNNNNNNNNNNNNNNNNNNNNNNNNNNNNNNNNNNNNNNNNNNNNNNNNNNNNNNNNNNNNNNNNNNNNNNNNNNNNNNNNNNNNNNNNNNNNNNNNNNNNNNNNNNNNNNNNNNNNNNNNNNNNNNNNNNNNNNNNNNNNNNNNNNNNNNNNNNNNNNNNNNNNNNNNNNNNNNNNNNNNNNNNNNNNNNNNNNNNNNNNNNNNNNNNNNNNNNNNNNNNNNNNNNNNNNNNNNNNNNNNNNNNNNNNNNNNNNCUUGUUCUUCAUUUACUUUAAUUGCUAAUUAAACUAUUCACUCCUCAUUCUCAAAACCCCAAUUUACAAUCUCCAUAACCAAUAAUAAGAACAUACUUCCCUGCAGUUUCUUGAGAAGACGACCCGAGGUUUGAAUACUUCGGUUAUCAAUUUAUUUAGGGGUUUGUUACUUGUGACAACCAAAACGUUUGUACGAAGGGAUUUCUGUUGGUUUAGAGACUAUAUCUACAACGCGACUAUUUUUAUAAAAUUCUUUACUAGCAAAAAUCCUAACGUCAAAAUGGCGCCAUUGCCGGAGAACUGCAAUCGUGUGCCUUAUUAUUGGUUAUUGUAAAUAUUUUUCUUUUACUUGUUUAUUUGUCUUUAUUUUUCUCCUCUUUAUUUCUUUUUAGCUACUAUGAAUUCUCACCCCUUCUGCUUUGAGUUUGGUUCUAAUGUUAUUGAAAGGAAUGUAAGUUAUAACAGGAACAUGCAUCAAGGUCAGAGCAACCAAAGAUGGAUAGAGCCAAGAGGAUCUGAUCAACCCUUUAGGCAACAACACCCUCCAAGAUAUCAUGGACAAAGACCAUUCUACAAUGCAUACCAAGAAAAUAGACAUGGUGGACAACCUUGUAAUCACCAACAAGCCCCACCCUGUGCUUAUAGGCCAUCCUCUCAACGUAACUUCGAACCACCACACUCACAAGCUCCUUUUCACCAUUCGCCACCACAUGAUCCACAUUUACCCCGAUUCCAAUCCAAUUACUCCCAAACACCACCACUUCUGCCUGUACUAUAUCCAAAUCUAUCACCCCGAGAAUCAGAGGUUCGCCUCAAGAAAACAGUAGAUCAACUUCAAACAACCCUUCAUCAACUGGAGCAAGCAGUAAGGCAAUUAUCUGCUAGAUGUUCGAACAUUCAAGGACAUCCCACAGCCCCAUGUGGACAAUCUAAUGAAGAGCGUAGCAUGAAGAAGAUACUAGAAACUCCAGUAGACAAGACAGAGCAUGGUUUCGUACUAGAACAAGUAGAGGAAGCUGUCAUUAUUAAAGAAGAAGAGUUGGUUGAAGACUUAGGAGACGCUGAACCUCCAUGGGAAUCCAAAGUUGUAGAGCAUUCUGUCAAGGAUGUUACAAUUGAUGCUAAGGAGGAUUGUGCGCAGUUCCCAAGGCAGGUAUUUCAUGAAGAACUAGACAGAAUAAUCCAAGAAGCAAGUUUCCUUGAUGACAAUAAUCUCAAGUCAAGUUCUUCUAUCAAUGAGCUUGCAUCCGCAAGUAAAUUCUCUGAGAUCGAAGAAUCUUCCCCAAGUGAAUACGAAGAUGAUACGGAGGUAGAUUUCUCUCAACCUCCAGUCUAUGACUUAAGUGAUGAGGAAGACAUAGAUGGCUUUGAUCAGGACAUGGAUACAUUUGAAGAAUCUUGCAAGGAAGUGGAGAAUCUCACAGAAGAGCACAAGGGAGUAGAACUCAUAGAACUACUGGAACCACCUAUCCCAAGGCCAUUACCACCCAAUACAUGUUUUAAGUGGGUACAAUCCUUAACCUUUAACUGUAUUUUUCCACUUGAAUAUGGUUUGCUUGAAUUAGAUGGCCAGCUUAGAGCUCUCUGCGGCUUUAAGAGUAAAAGGGAAAUGGCUCGUACUCAGAGCUGGUGCACGAGGUUCAAUAAGGUUCCACGCUUCAACUCGAAGUGCACGGAUUGGCACCAUGAUCAAUCGAAUGGAUCUCGGAAAACGUUUGGUUAUCCUGGUGAGAAUCUAAUUUCUAAACCGCCUAGAUGGAAAAGUAUAGAUCAAGACGAAGGCGGAUUUAAAAGCAAGGUUUGGGAUCCUGGAAUCUAUGCUGACAUUCGUCACCCCAGGAGCCUGACAAUUUGUUUGAAGCUGCUCAGAAGCUUCACAUGCCUAGUUUGGUACCCCGGAGGCUAUUGGCAUUCCAAGCAUUGGUGGAGAUUUCUGGAUGAAUUUAAGUACAAGCCACCAUAAUAGGAAGCUCAUCCAAUGUCCAACUUAAAGACUUUAACUAAAAGUGCUAGGUGGGAGACAACCCACCAUGGUAUGAUUGUUCCUUCUUCAAUUUUUAUUUAGUUUUAUUUGUUUUCAAGUUUUAUUUUAUUUUAUUAUAUUGAACCUGGAGUUUUGCAUCGCAUUCAUAUUUGCAUUCUGCAUACUGCAUAAAAAAAAAGGGUGCGCGACGCGACCGCAUCAUUCAUGCGAUCGCAUCAAGUUGCGAAAAAGACUUCCCACGCGACCGCGUCAUUCACGCGGCCGCGUGAUCUGGAGAUCGGUGUAAAGAUCCAACGUCCAAAAAGUUAGGCUGGAAUUGUGCGGCCAUUGUGCUUUUCGCACAAACGACCCACGCGGUCGCGUCCCUGACGCGAUCGCGUCACUUGCACAACAUCACUCCCACGCGAUCGCGUCACAUGGAUUACACAACACCCCAAAAGGAGACAGAGAGUUGCGCUAAAACCCAGCGCCAACCACAGCCCCCCUUCCUUCCCCUUUACCCCCUACCCCCAUUACCCCUACCUUUCCCUCCCUUCCUCCGAACAGCAGCCACCGCCGCCGCGUCACCCUCUUCCGCCGUGCCGGACGCCACCGCCGUCAUCCCCAGCCACCUCUCUGCCCCAUUCUCCUUAAUUCGCCUACCAGGUUCCGACGAAUGCCACCCUUCUAUCCAUUCGUAGUUAAUUCAUAUUUUUCUGUUUUUGUUCAUAUUUAGGCUAGUUAGAUAUGCAUGUUGUAGUGGAUUUUAGGUUGUUAGGUAGCCUAGGAUGUGAUUAGUGGAUUUAGGUCUGUUUAAUUGCGCUGUUCGUGUUUCUUGUUUCAUUAUUUUUGUAAUUCUGCUGUUGCUGUGAUGUUAGUUUUGUUCAUAUGCUGUAAUUUCUUGUUUCAUGCUGCUCUUUACUCUGAUUUUUCAUGUUCUUAUUCCUUAUAUGUAAUUGCAGCUGUAUUUUUUAUUCAUAUGAACUAUUCUGUUGUUGUUUAUUUUCCGGGACAAUCCAAUUUUAGCCGGAAUGUUGCCCAAAUCUCUGUAAAAUGUUUCCAUUCAUGUCUUGAUUUUGGCAUUUUCAACUGUGCUUUCCUUAGAUUUAACCAAAACAAUUCAUGAAUGCCAGGGCAAGCUUUCUUAUUCUUUUUGAUUUUCUGGUUCAUAAUUUGCAUUUUUGAUGUUUGAUUCCAAUUUUUGCUAUUUUUAUAUCUAUUUGAAUCAUCAUCAACCUGUUUUCCUUAUUUGGGUAUGAGUUACUUAUAGCUUCUACCUGUGAAUACUUGUUACUUGGAAUAUUUUCAUUAUGCCAUUUACUUUAACCCACUUUUUAUUAACUCACUAAUGCUAACUUCCUAAACUCUUUUUCAAUUCUAACCAACCUAACCUUUCAAAACUUCUCUUCUGAUUUUCUUUCACUUUCUUUUAACAUUCUAACCAUGGCAUGAUGUUAAUUUUUCUAUUUAACAUGAAUUCAAUUACAUUUUGGAUUGUGAAUUCUCCUUUUCGGACUUUUAACUCCUAUACAAUCCUUAAUGCACAUUUACUUAACUCAUUUUCCUUAUCCUUUUGCUCCUUUGCCACUUUGUGUUUCUUUUGAUUAUUUGCCUAUUUGUUUUCCUGUUUUCACUAUAUUCUGGUUUUCUGUUUUUCAGGAUGUCUGCCAGCCAGAGAAAAGGGAAAGGAAAUGCUACUACUGGCAAACGGAAAAGAGGAGAAUCCUCCAUGUCCAUUAUGGAAAUUAUGCACGAUGACUCCUUGCGGGAGAAAAAAUUUACCCCGCAGGAGAAGGCCGACCAGCUAAUCCCUGCCACUGAUCCAAUAAAGUUUGCAAACCAAUACUGUGAGCUGAAGUAUCCGGUGUUUGCAACCUCCAGGAACCUAUACCUGGAGAGGACCUUGAAAAUCCCAGAAGAACUCCAGCAAUACACCUCUGAUCAGAUCAAACAAAGAGGCUGGUUCUUCCUGGAGAGAAACCUGAUUGAGGUCAAUGCAUCUUGGGUUAAGGAAUUCUACUGCAAUUACUUCAAAACCUCCCUAGAUGCAGUGAACCUUAGAGGAAAGCAGAUUCUGGUCACUGAAGAGGCCAUUGAAGAUGUUCUGAAGCUUCUGCCUAAAACUGAUCAGCUGGAUGGUUAUCAGAAAGCUGAGAAAGAUAUGCGCUUCAUGAAGUUUGAUUGGGAUGCAAUCAUGGCCAGGAUAGCCCUUGACCCGACCGUUCCUUGGAUUAUGGGUCAGAACACCACCAUGCCAAAGGAAAUCAAGCGGAUUUACUUGAAUGAUGAGGCUCGGCUAUGGCAUCAGAUACUUAGCAAUUUUGUCAUGCUGAGUACUCACGAGACUGAGAUACCAGCCGCUAUGAUCACCCUCCUAUGGUGUGUGAUGGAGGGUAAGGACCUGUACCUGCCACGCUUUAUCCAGUACCAUAUGGCCAGGGUCCACGUCCGAGACACUCUUCCCUUUCCUUAUCUGAUUACACAGCUAGGCCGUCGAGCUGAUGUGCCUUGGGAGGAUGCUGAUGAGAAGCCACCUGCUGCAGAAUGCAAGAAGAUUAUCCCUCACAGCAGGAACUUUCUGGCUCUGGGCUACAGACCUCCAUUCCUCACAGCCCCUGGUGACACACCCACACCAUCUGCCGGCCCCUCUUCCUCUACAGCUACCCCUGCCACCACCACUGCACCUCCACCUGCCCCAGAGCCCAUCUAUCAUCUAGUGCACCACCUGUUUCGACGGCUUGACCAGAUGGAGCGUCGCAACAAGCGACGCUAUGAGCACCUGAAGCUGAUGAUACGCUCUGGCGACAUCCCCUUCGAGCCUGACACACCAUCCAAGGCAUCUGAGGAGGAGGCGGAUGAUCACGAGGCAGAGACCCAUCCCCAGAGCGAGGCUGCACAGGCAUGCACAGAGCAGGCCGCAUCACAUCAGGAGGCUCCGCCUCAGAUUCAGGCUGUAGACCCCGAGAUCCCUAUCCAGUUAGCACCUCCUCUACAGCAGGCUGAUCCUCAGACCACCACCACAGAGACUCUAGCUAUCCGUCCUUCCAGUGAUGACACCCCUUCACACCCUGCUUGAGUGAGCAUCAGGGACGAUGCUUCAUUUUAAGUGUGGGGGAGGUCGCCAUCUCUGGCUUAUUUUUUUGGUGAACCAUUACAGACUCUUUUCAUUUUAUUUUGCUACUUUUCUGUAUUUUUAUUUUAAUUUUUAUUUUUAUUUUCUCAGUACUUAUAUAUAUUGCUAUUUUUAUGUAUUUUUACUCUAUUUCUGCAUUUUGCAUUUUAGUUCAUAUUUUAGCCAUUUAGUUUAGAAGCAAUUCUAACUUAUUAGUUAUAGAAAUUGUGGAUUAAUUAGUAUAGUUUACCCCUUUUUUUAGCAUAAGAUAGCUUAGUAUAAAUUGAAAAAUAUAAAAAGGAAGUAAACUAGAGACUUGAACAUAAUAGAAACAAUCCACACACCUUGUAUAUAUAACAUUACAUGCUAGUUAGUUAACAACAUUUCAUCAAGGAGAAACACUAAAACUUUAAAGCCACCUUAAGUUUUACAUUGAGAAUAAUGGGAACUUUUAAUUUUACUUGCAUGACAUACAUAAUUGAUAAAUAAUUUUUGAGCUAGAGAACACACAGCCUGUGAGUUUUGAGCUUAAUUAUAUGGUUAUAUUCAAACCAUAAUUUUUAUUCCUGUGUGUUCCGCCCUUCUUAUUUAUUCUGGUGUUCUUUACUUUGUUUUAAUCUAUAUGUCCGAUUAUAGAAUAUAACUACAUACCAAGAGAAUGAUUGAGGCCAUUAUUUGAUUUUAGCUCACUUAUCCCAAAAUAGCCUACCCUUUUACAUCACCCUUGUUAGCCCCCUUGAGCCUUUAAAUCCCCUUUUAUUCUAUAAACCACAUUACUAGCCUUAAGCAGAAAAACAAAAUAAAAAUUCCAAGUUGAAUCCUUGGUUAGCUUAAGAUAACAAAUUGUGUAAUUGUAUAAGAGUGGGAAACCUACUGGGAACAUGGAUGAUAAAAACAAAAGGUAGAAAAGUUGAAAAGAAUAAAAUAAUUCAAAAUAAAAGUUUUGGGAAGCAUGCUCAUGUGAAAUUAAAAUAAUUGAAUUACCAUGUGCAUUUAAAAAAAAAAAGAGUGUUAUUUUUCAGUAGUUGAAUAAAGGGGACACAAAAGAAUUCCCCAAAUGUGAAAUAAAGCAAUGCACAUGGGAUAAAAAUAAUAAACAUUGAAACAUGAGCAUGUAACAUCAAAAGUGGGAAAAUAUGGGAAUAUAGGUAAAGGAUGUAUGUGAAAAACAUGUUUCCUAUGCUUUAAAAUUAAUUAUUUUAAUUACCUUUAUUUCCAUUCGAUGCCGUGAUUAGUGUGUUGAGUAGUUUCAGAUCUUCUAAGGCAGGAUUGACUCAAAGGAUGGAAAGGAAACAUACAAAAAUGGAAGGAAAGCAGAAAACGGAGUUUUUGGAGAAAUUGGCAUCCACGUGAUCGCAUGGACGACGUGGCCGCAUGCCAAUUGCGAAGAAGCAGCGACGCGGCCGUAUGACUAACGCGACCGCACUCCUUAAGCAGAACACAUAUGACGCGGCCGCAUGACUGACGCGACCGCGUGAUAAGGAAAACUCCGAAUGACGCGACCGCGUGACCCACGCGGAUGCGUGACAGAGGCCACGCACCAGAAAUUGCAGAAAACGGUCAUAGCGAUUUCUGAGGCCCUUUUUGGCCCAAAUCCAAGUCCAGAAGGCAUAGACCAGAGGUUAUGAAGUGGAGGAAUGCAUCCAUUCAAAGAGAGUCUCCACUUUAGUUAGUUUUCAUGAUUUAGAUUUAGUUUAGAGAGAGGUUCUCUCCUCUCUCUUCUCUCUUUAGGAUUAGGAUUUAGAAUUAGGAUUUUAUUCGCUUUCCGGAUUAUCUCUUUAUCAGGUUCAAUACCAUAACCAAUAAUAAGAACAUACUUUCCUGCAGUUCCUUGAGAAGACGACCCGAGGUUUGAAUACUUCGGUUAUCAAUUUAUUUAGGGGUUUGUUACUUGUGACAACCAAAACGUUUGUACGAAGGGAUUUCUGUUGGUUUAGAGACUAUAUCUACAACGCGAUUGUUUUUAUAAAAUUCUUUACUGACAAAAAUCCCAACGUCAUCAACCCCCGAAGACUGGGCUAUGGCUUUGCCUUUUUCCAUCUUUGCAGGAGAUGGAAUUCCCUUCGGAUAAGUGUCUCCAUCAGAUGGAAAAACUAUUCGGAAAUGUACAGAAGGCGUUGCCCCCUUGCUUACUUCUUUACUCAUUUCCUACUGAGGUUUUUUGCUCUGAUUGAAAUUUCUCCUGCUACCUCUGCCCCUAGGAUACCCUCUAGCUCGACCACGAUAAUAGGAGUAUUGGUUUCGAGGAGGUCCCCGAUGUCUCCACUGGGGAUUGCAUCGAUACAAAUGGUCCCGCUUCUGGAACUCCUGACAGUUCCGAAUCCACUGGACACUUAUAGCCUUAGAUCGGCUUAAAGGUGUAGUUACACUUUGCUGAGGGAUCUUCGAACUCUGACCCUCUAUACGCCGAAUUGGUUGCCUCUGGCGCGCUUACUCCUCUCUAUGAGCUAAUUAUUUCUUCAUUCUCGAAGAUUGUCGCUGCCUCAGCAUCAAAAACAGCAUUACACCAUGGACACAGAGAUACGUCCAUGUCUUUGAUCUUCUGUUGAACCAGAAAAUCCAACAGCCCAUCCCCUACUCUAGGGUACACAGAUCUUACCUGUGACUCGAAAUUAUCCAGAGUCACAUCAAAGUCAUAUGACAUACCAACCAUAUUCACUCCAAAGUACGGCUCGACAAAACUAGCAUCAACAUCAAAGGGAUCAACAUCAACCUUCAUCUCUUUCUUGCCAUCAUCGAAUUUCAACCAUCCUUCCAUUAUUGCUUCCUGAAUUAAAUCCCUGAAACGAACACAACUGUUAGUCGAAUGACUUGUUGCUUGGUGAAACUUACAAUAAGGUUUUCCUUUUAAAUCUUUCACCGAAAGUAAAGUUCUACCCUCAUGCAGAAUUAACUGUUUAUCUUUAAGCAACACAUUGAAAAUCUGAUCAGAUUUCGAGAUAUCAAAACUAUAUUUCUUUCCACUUUUUAGCUUUGAAUUAUUCGACUUUUCAUUACUAAGAAGCUUUUUGAGUAAAGACCAAACAUAAGGAGGGCCUUUCUUAAGCUCGGCCAAAUCGACUUCUGUUUCGAAAUCGAAUUCCUCCUCUGAAGACUCCAUAGUCACAUAAGCAACUUUCUGUUUCUGAAUAAAAGGUUUACUCUUCGAUCUUUGUUCACUCCUAUACUUCUCUUUCUCUUUUUUUAUGAGUUCGGUCUGACGAACCUUUUCAGCUAAAUGGGCUAGAUUGGGAAUAUGCACAUUAAGCAGCUUUCUGCGCAUAUAAAACCCUAAUCCCAUAAUUGCUAUUUUCACGAUCUCACUUUCAGGUUAUGACACAUAGCACCUAAUUCUAGCAUUCUUGAAACGUAUUAAAUAAUCAUCAAUAGUUUCACCAUCUUCACGUUUCAAAACCACUAGAUCAGUAACUGCCACAUUCAUUUUCCCUCAAUAAAACUGAGCGUGAAAAGCAGUUUCUAACUGAUUCCAUGUUGUGAUCGAAUUUGGUCUAAGAUUCAAAAACCAAGUAAAUGUAUUCUUCGUCAACGAAGAAGGAAAAAACUUUAUUUUCAAAUUUUCAUCAUUAGCUAAGUUCCCAAUCUCGACCAAAUAGCGAGCAACAUGUUUAGUGGUUGAUUCUCCAACUUCCCCGGCAAACUUUGUGACUAUCUUUGGAUUUUUUAUCCCUCUUGGCGCUUUAGCCAUUUGAACAACUUGGGGAGAAACAGAUACAAAGUACGGUCGAUUCAUAAAACCAACAUUCAAACCCACUCUAUUGAGUACUUAUUUCACAAUUCUGGUGACUUGAUAACGUUCUCCACCAUGAUUAACACGUAAUCUGGCUAAAACAUUAUCAGCAUUUUGACCUCGGGGAAUUACAUAAGGAUUUUCUUGAUUUAAACAUUGUUUUCAUUUUGAAAUAUAUUUUCUGCUCCUUCGUUAUUUCCCCUGGUGCCCUUCACCUUCCUCAUAAUCUACGAUUCGAGUAAUACGUUCGACUUGUCUAGCAAGACGUUCAAAUUUCGAUUCGUGACCAGCCAUCAUUGGAUUUAGAAUUGUGGUCAUUUGUUGAGUCAAUAAAUUGACUAAAUCAUGAUGACCUUCCUCUACUUGUUGUCGAUAUACUGCCAUUGAAUUAGUAGCAUUCGAAGUAGAGCUCACAUUAUAAUCAUGAGAAUAUUCGGAAUAUUGUUGCGGAUUUUGACCAUUAUUCACUCCACUUGUAUUUCCGAAACAAAUAGGUGAAACAAAACCACCCACUGGCGGAGUAAAACUCGGAGGAAGACCAUAAGGAGGCCAACCAGCGGUCAAUGGAGGUUGGUAUGGUGGCAAAGUGCCACGUGGACGAAUAUUACAUCCAAUAUUUCUAGUCUGAACAGUAGUAAUCGCUAUACUUUCUGUUCUAAUUGCACCUUCGGAACGUGAAGUCACGUCCGUUUGUUGCAUGGACACUGGUAUGCUAUCAUUGAUGGAUGAACCACCAUUCACAUUUGAUACCUCAUUAGCCAUGUGAAUGAUCUUUCCACUUCGUAAUCGCAUACACCAAAUGACACUGAAAAAUAUCUUUUUGACACACUUCGAUUUUCAAAAACUGUCCCACCGGGCGUGCCAAUUUGUUUUGUCGAUUUUUAGCAAAUCAAUGGUGGUUCGAUAUCUAGUGGUCUGGGAGUGAAACCUACUCCUCUUUACAGGUACCAGUUUUCUAAAAGUGCAUCAAAGUGUCUUCGAUUAGACGGGGUUGAGAAUAAAGAUAACUUAAAAGUUAUAAACUAAUAAAAAGAACAAAAAGAUAAAGUUUUCGAAAGGGAAAUGUACUGAAAAUGGAAAGAAAUGCAUUGGAAUUAAAAGAAAACAAUAGAAUGCCUUCGAUUGAGUCAAAGGACUUUAACAUGAAAAUUUAAAAUGCAGAAAGAUAAAUUGGACAAAGAAGAUAAAUGGAACUUGAAAGAUAAAUUUACUUGAAAAGAUAAAGUUUACAAAAAGAUAAAUUGAAAAAGUAAAAUAUGGAAGGAACCCUAUAGAAAGGUUACUCGAUUGCAGACUCGGGAAUUUCCUGGGAUGUGAGUGUGCUUGAGUGAUUCUGAGUAAAAGUUCCAACCCCUAUUCCCUAAGAUCUCCUAGUAUUUAUAAUCUGCUUUUAGUAACUGAUAAUUAAUUAUAAUUAAUUAGAAAAUCACAUCAUUGAAUGUGUUUUCCUUGGGAACUGUUCCCGCCUAAACAUUCUCCCUGAUUUCCUCGCGUGAUAAAAGCCUUUAACUUCUCCACUACCAUAACUACCCAAUCUCUUAUUCGAAUAAGCUAUUCGAUUAUCUGACGUGAGUCCCAUGGUCGAUUUGACUUGCCCGAUUUAUUGAAGGGCGGGCCUUGAAAUCAAAUCUGUGUCGAAAACUUCCAUUUAAUACUUGCGUGUAUGUCUUUUCGAAAACUACUUAUAUCUUUGAUCACUUUACCACUUCGAACCAUUUUCCUUUAUCGAAAAUAUUUUUUGAUCAACAGGAUGUAAGCUAUGCGUGUUGGCACUCUCUCUUGUGAUUAUGACUAGCAGUUUUGGCUUGUUCUUCGAAUCCCGCUGACAGCCCCUGGAACAGCGGAUUCUGCCGGCGGAGGCGAGCUCAAAAGCACUUCUUUUGCAUCCGCUUCCGUUGCCGUAGCUGCAAUCAUCAUUAUCUUCAUUGGAUAAUUGUGGUACAGUUGCACGAUUUACUAUUUGUUGAUGUUGUUCUUGAGAGUGGUGAUGAUGGCGUUGUUAAAAGUGUAAUUUUGGUCUUGUAAAGUGGAAGAGAAGAAGUUGUGACAACUUCUCACUGUUUGCGACAAUCCUUUUUCAUAAAUCAAGAAAAUUAAUUCUUCUCUUCCAAUAAGAUGGAAGUUUCAUUUGUUUACAGGGUGAAGAAUAAUUUUUGUCUUUUGGCAAAAGUUAUAAAAAUGUUCUUUAACUUUUAUUUUAUUUUAUUUUAUUUUUAAAAUUUUUUAUUUAUAUUAAAUAUAUUUAUAACCAUAACCAAAAAAUUUAAUCAUAAAUAAUGGACUAAUUUUUUAGCAAGCAUGCUACAUAUACAAGCUUUUUUGGCUUACAAGCUAUACAAGUUGGCCCAGCCCAAAAAAAAAAAUCAUGUGCAUUACACUGUUUAGAAUGGAGUGUAAAAUGCACGCGCCUUACACAACGGUUGCGUUUUCCAAAACACGCUCAUUAUGGCACACUCUUCCUCCUCUUCCUCAGUCAAAACGUAAACCGUCAAGUUUCAAGCUACAUUCGAAACAAAUUACAAUUAUGAAGAAACGCUCUAACUCGUUGCGAAGAGUAGAAGAAAUCAAGAAUAAAAGAUACAAAUCUCCAUAAAAAAAUCAGCAGAAAAAACGAAGAAACAUUAUUCAAGGUAAGGUACUGUUUUAGUGUUCUUCUAGGUUUUUCACACUGUUAUAUGAAAUCGAAGAACUAUAUCGUCAGUAUUUCUCGCUCUGUUUCUUCUAGGUUCUUCUAGGUUUUACUGUUCUUCUUGUUUUAGAUCUCAUAUUACUGUUCUGAUGAAACUGUUCUUCGUUUACGCUAUCUUACGUACUUCUAGUGAAUGCUUUAACGUUUGUUUUGAUCUGUUUGGUGGAUAUUUUGUGCAUGUUUACAUAUUUUGUGCAUGUUUACAUGUUUUUUAAUUAGGUUUGUGCAUGUUUACAUGAAAGACUCUUCCUCUUCUAACUGAUUUUUGGGUGUAUAUGGCAAUUUUUUUGGUGGCCGUUUAUCGGGUGUAUAUCUCGGACUUGGCAUGCGACUGUUGCUUCUAGUGGGACUUUGAACUUAAAAAUAUUUCUGAACUCAUAUAAUGUCAUAUAAUCUAAAAAAUGUAGAGGUGUAUGAGACUAAUAUAUAUAUUAGGAGUUUUGAAGUCUAACUGUUACUAUUCUAAUUGUGCUUGACCUUGUAGUGUCAUUUUAUGGAUGUUUGGAUGAAUUGAAUAUGAUUUUGAAGUGAUUUAAUUUCGUUUAAUUAAAAAAAAUAAAAUAGAUAUGGGACUGGAUUUGGGUGUAUGUGGCUGAUAUUGGGGUGUAUCUGACUGAUCUAUGGGUGUAUGUCUCUGAUUUUUGGGUGUAUUUUUUAUCUAUUGACAGCAUCUCAUUUUCAUUGCAGUAAAAAUGGCGAGCAAAAACCAAGGCGGAAAAAAUACAAUGUAAGCACAAAUAUAUAUCUUAGAACAAGUCAAUUUUUCCUAAUACAAAUAUAACUUAUUCUAAUGACUCUAAUUUUGCUUUGUUUACAGCAAACCAAAGACUUGAAUUGUGCAACCCAUUCGUUGAGUGAAAAAUUUGGAAAUAUGAGCGAGGAAAAGAAAGCAAUCGUUCGGGAUUUAGGUUUUGGUGGACUGAUGCACAUCCCGCCACUAAGGGUGCAUCACAAACUAUUAAAGGAGUUGGCUAACUCCUUUAAACUGGGAAAAACACACUCAAAACCAACUACAGUUCAUUUAGAGUAAAACCCAGCACAAUAGGGGCUGCGCUUGGCCUCAACGCAUCAGGUAACUCAUUACAGAAAACCUCUAUACUUCCAUUCUUUGUAAUAUAUUAUUCUGCUAUCAUAUAAUCAAGAAACAAACAUAGGUGUAUAUGAGUGAUAUUGGGGUGUAUAUGAGUGAUGUUUGGGUGUAUUUCAAGUGAUUUUCAUUGUAAGUUGUUUUGUUUUUUGUAGGAGAUCUAUUUCCUCAGAAAGUCAGUUAUAAGAAACUUUCUGAAGAGAACAAACAGAUUUUUAGAAGAUUCUAGGGGAAGACUCUAAAAAGUCUGACAGAUGAGAUAAUGAGUAUUGGUGUUAGAAAUGAACAGGAUCGCCUCAUGUUUAAGAGGAUUUUCAUCUUCUAUAUACAGAUGGCGUUCCUGUUGCCAACAGCAAUAAACAAAAUCUCUCCUGUGCACCUAGCUCCUAUUUUCAAGAUGGACAAAAUAAAGGAGGGCAACUGGGGAGCCCAUGUUCUGAAUUUCAUCAUCAAAGGCAUAACUAAUUACAAUCUGAAAAAGAAAAAAUCAAUCGACGGCUGCCUGUUUGCCUGGAUGAUAGUCUAUUUUCAUCUGCCAAAAAACAAAGAGAAGAAAGGAGAAGAAAAACAUGCAUAACCCUGGAUUGCCAACUGGAAUAGAGAGCAAUUGGUUGAAAGGAUGAGAGCUGAAACAGAUGAACAUGUGGUAAGUGAACAGAAUACCUUGGGCAUAUUUUAUUUACGUGGAAGUUGUUAACUAACAUUUCUACUGUUUCAGGGAAUUGUAAAGAUGGCAGAAACAAAGGAGAAAUUGAAACAAAUGAAGGAAAAAGAAAAAAGAAGAAAAAAAACAAAAACAAAAAAAAACAAAAAAAGAAAGGCAAGUUCAUCAUCAUCUGAGAGUGAAACAGUUGAAACUGAAGUCUAUUCUUCCUUUGAGUCUGAGACUGACCAGGACUCAGAGGAACCAAAAAGGAAACAACCCACCCGCAGCCAAAAAGUAAGUAACAUACUUGGGUGUAUUUUGUCACUUUUAGGGUGUAUUAUGUUACUUUUAGGGUGUAUUUUGUCAGUUUUAGGGUGUUUUUUACUAAUGAUUGUUUGCCUUCCAGAAUGGAAUCCAAAAAAAGGAAGAAGACUCAGGAGGAUUCUUAUUCUGAAACUGAAUCGAAUGAUGAGUAAUGUUCUGAAAUUAUCAUCGCUUUCUUUUCUGUUUAUUCUCAAAAUUUCAUGUAUUAAUAAAGCGUUUCUUAUUAACUUUCAGAAGCGAAGAAUUAUCACCAGUAAAAACACGAAAAAGAAAGAAAAAAAUUCAGAGAACACCCCAAAAGUAAGCACUGCUUUGGGUAGUAUUUUUUGAUCAAUUUUAUUUUGUCUUUUUGAUUCAUAAUUUUUUUUUCUCCAGGACGCAAUCCAAAAAGAGCAAGCUCAUUGUUGAGGAUUCAUCUCCUGAACAAACUCAAUCCUAUCAUGGGUAGGGUACUUUGAAAGCUAUAUUACUGUUUAUCAUCAAAAUUAUAUUUGUUAACAUGUUCUUUUAUGCGUAUACUGUCAGAUCUGAAAUUGGAACUGAAGAAUUAGAAGAAUUCUUAAGGGAAUCUAAGAAGAAGAAAAAUAAUGAAAAAUCUGCUGCAUAGGGGUUUGUUAUGUUUGGGGUGUAUAUUACCGAUUUUAAGGUGUUUUCGUUGCUAAUAAUUGUUUCUGGUUUCCCAGGGAGAAGGGAGCUGACCUACGAUCAACAGAAGGUCACUAUGACUCAUCCAAAACGUAAGAACCUUUAUUUGAUAAAAUCUUGUUAUCCUUAAUUAACCGCAUGGUAUUUUUAUUGAAUGAUAUCUAUUCUAUGUUUAGAAUACCGAAGGUAAACUUAGGAAGCGAUGAUCCUUUGUUUCAAGGACACACAGUUCAAAGCACCAUAAACAAACCGGCGGAUAGCAUGUAAUUUCUCUUUCUAAUACCGGUUGCUUUUAUCUUUUAUUACCUUCUGCUUCUAAUUAUGUAUAUAUUUUUUUUAGAAAAAAAAAGCCCUUUAAUGUUUUAUUCAAGAAAAAAAAGGCAGGAAAAAAAAGCAAAAAAUGCAACUACGUAAGUUCUCAAAAAAUAAAGCCUGUGUUUCUUUUGAAUGCUUCGGGUGUAUUUUGAGUUUCUUUGGGUGUAUUUCAGGUUGAGCCUGGUAGAAGAAUCAGCCAAUGACCCAGCUGAAGAGAACAUGAUGGUUGUGCGGGUAGAGACACAGUCACAAACUGACGCGCUUUCAAUGUGAGUAUUUCAAGUAAAUUUCAACCUUAUGACCAUUUUAUUUUCACGAGCUUUCUUAACCUUUUAUUUUUGUCUUGUUUAGAGUUUCGAUUCAAGUUUAUCUACCUCUGUCCCAGACAACUCCUGUGCCAGAAAUUGAACCGACCCCUGCAAAGUCUCCAAGUAAAAAAAUUAAUGAAGAAACUACAAAAAGGUAAGGAAUAAUCUUGGGGUAUAUUUGGUUAUUGUUUGGGUGUAUAUUGUCCUUGUUGGGGUGUAUAUCUUCACAAUUGAUCUGUAACUAGUUUUUUUUAUAACAUUUUUCAUUUUAUGUAACCCUGCAGCACUCCAGAACCACUCCAAAACCUGAAGAAAGUACACCCACGCUUCCACUAGCUCCAUCUAAAAUGUAAGUUCAGAAAAAUAAAAUUUGGGUUUCACUAUGAUUCGUCUAUUCUUAUUCUUUUAUUACGUUAUAUGUCAACACGCAGUAAUCCAGCCCCAGAAGACGCUGCUGCACUGAUGAUGAUGGCCCGAACAGCAUCGUACAUACCUAAAGAAGGUCCGGUGCCAUCAUUCAGCUUUGACUUGACUGAUUCAAGACAAGAAGAAGCAGCAACGUAAGAAGGGGAGAGGGCAAAAACUCCUGAAACGCCAAAACUAAUAGAACAAUUAGGGGAGCUGGUGGAAAAAUUGCAAGCAGUGGGGUGAAAACAGAAGGUAAAAGUCCACAGAUUCAAAAGCAGAGUGGCGAAGAAAGUUAUGAAAAGUUUGAAACUCCUGCAAGGACCAACGAGAUGUCAGCUGAAAUGAAAGAGAAAUGCUACAUCUAGGCCACGCGUGUGAAGACAUACGGAGAUAGAGGAACUAAUGAGUAUGACGCCGUGUGCACACUCAAUGCCCAAGAUCGAUACAUUUUGUCAAAAGUCCACUUCGCAUCUCUCAAAGAUGAUACACAUAUAGAAGCUGAGGUAAUAUUAGAAUAACAUUAAUGAUUUUAUCAUGAAAUGUAACUGUAAUGUUGAUUGAUGUAAAAUUGAUUUGGGCUUUUUUUUCUAGAUUGUCUUUGCCAUGUGCCUCAUCCUUAACCAGCAAAACAUUAAAAGGUUUUGUUGAGUUAAGAAAUUAACUAAAUUAAUUAGUGAUGACAAACAUUAUUUUUGGACAAAAUAAAUAAUUAGUGUUAAGUGUUAAUAAUUAUAUGUUGCUAAUUAUUUAUUAUAUGUUGCAGGCCAAAACUUAGUUCAGCAGCCCAAAUUGGUAUGAAAAUAAUAUAGCAAGGCUGGUGGGUAAAUAAAUAAACAAAGCUCAUGAGGAAACAAGGCUGAAAAAUCAAAACGGGCAAUAAAGCAAGAAAAACCCAAAGAAAUCAAAGCAAGAUAACUAAUGGGCUGAAUUUGAGUAGAACCCAAUCCAAGCCCGAAUUGAUUUCAAAUUCCUCUCACUUGCUUUCACUAACUCAACGUUCUCCUCUUCUCUGACCAUGUCAAAUCACAAACUCAGAAAAGUGAGAAAGAGAAAGAGAAAGCUUCUUCCCUAAGGUGAUCAUCAAAGAAGCAAGAAAUAGGUUGCAUAGCACAAGGCAACCGAACCAGGAUACAUGCUGGUGUUAGCUUUUCUCUUCUCUGCUGUGUUCUGUUUUCUGAUAUUCAUGAGACAAAAAUAAAUUGUCUCAUAAAUUUUCGCUGCUAAGUUAAAACAGAAUCAGAAUUGCAAAUCUGUUUUAAAAGGGUAACAACAGUAAUUAAAAGGAAGGCAUAGAUUCAACCCCCCCUUCUCUAAGCCUACCACAACCUUCAAUUGGUAUCAGUCAGGCACCACUGACACAACUCUAUUUAUCAAGAAUUCUAAUGAUUCUUUUAUUCUAGUCCAAAUAUAUGUUGAUGAUAUUAUUUUUGGAUCAGCUAAUGAAUCCCUUUGUUCUGAAUUUGGAAAACUCAUGACAAGUGAAUUUGACAUGAGUAUGAUGGGUGAACUCAAUUUCUUCCUUGGGCACAUAUUGAAGUGAAAUUUCACUCAAUAAGAGAACAUGUCUAAAAGGGGGAUAUUAGUAUUCAAUUUGUUAAAUCAGAGGAGCAAUUAGCAGAUAUUUUUACAAAACCAUUAGCUGAGGAUAGAUUCUGCAUGCUUAGGACUUGUCUAGGAAUUUUGAGUUAUGAUUCACUGUUUGAAAAUUGCUAAUGAGUUUGUUGAAGUUGUUGUCUCAUAGGUUCGAAUGAGAAAUUUUGGGCAGAAGAAGAACCAUCACUCUGAAUUUUAUCUUCUGGGCUCUGAACUUUCUUGGAAUAGGGUUCUGAACUUUCUUUUUCAAGAACACUCUUAACUUGCUGCGAUUGCAAACCUAUUCAUGUAUUGUACAUUCUUUUUACAUUUCUCAUCAUUAUCAUUUCAAUUUUUGAAAAAAAAAAAAAAAAACUGCAACUUCUGCUUUAAUUGUGCUAAUGCCUUGUUUGAGAAUUCUAUUUUGCAGGUUCUGUUUUGUUUUAUUUCUCCCACCUUGAUAACAAAAGGGGAGAAAAAUGCAUAUAUGAGGCUUGACAAGACAUAAGACUUACCGAGAUUAUUGGAUAUUAGUUUUGUUUAGUCUUGUGUUUGGUAACUGACUUGGGUUUAUGAAUUGAAAUCUGUUUGACUUGUUUGUGAACUGAACUUGGCUUACUUGUUUGUGAACUAAACUUGGAUGACUUUAAGUCUUUUGAACUUUAUGUUGUGCUGGUGAAUUGUUUGUUACAUGCUGCCAUAGUUUGCAAUAUGUGCUUGUAUGGAUUAUUAGACUUUUGUGCAACCAUGGAAUUCUAGAUAAGCAUGUAUAUACAUUAGUUUGUUGUGUUGGCAUUAUUGUCUGUAUCCUCAGGUUAAGCGACAUUCAGUGAAACAGCAAAAGGGACCCACUCAUUCAGAGAGAGUGGUAUUGGAUGAUGAUGAUGAUGACUUUAUCCCUGAGGAAUCUCCUCCUCCUUCCACUGAGGGUACUUCCAUCUUUACUGGCCAGAAAUAUGCCCUGCUGAAUGUUGUCAAGGGUGUUGUUCAGGAGUUUGUCUCUCAAUCAAAUCACUUGAUUGUAUGAACAAGGAGCAAAGGAAGCUAGCAAGCAAGCGCGAAAAUUUCCUCCGUAAGUCAAGAGAUAGAGUGGCUGUGUUCAUGACUUUCAUUGAUAACCUUCAAAAGGAUGAAGACCCUGCCACUGAUGCUGAUGAAGAAGUUGAUUCAGAGGGAAAUGGUUCGGAUGCCUAAGAAUUGUUUCAUGAUGCUGCUGCUGUCUGCUCAUUUUGUCUGAUGAAUUUUAUUUAUUUUGCUACUAUUGAACUGUUUUGUUCUCUUGGAUGACUGUAAUAACUUUGGAUAACAUUGCACCUUUGUUAAUUCAUUAGGACUGUGCACUAACUCUCUUCUGCAGGUUAUAAGGUGCUGUUUUUGUUGAUCUUGCAUAUUAUCCACCCUUGAUGACAAAAGGGGGAGUAAUAGCAAUAGGAUAAUAGCAAUAGGAUAAUAGGAUGGUAAAUGUGUCCUAGGAAUUUUUUGGCAUUGCUGCAGCUACUAGUACUUCUUUUGGGAUUUUUGUCUGUUUGCUGCAUUAAAAAUUGCUUUCACAUGUUGAAUCUUUGUGCUGCUGAUAUUAGCUUGAUGUUGGGCUGAUUAUGUGAUGCUGUUUGUUUGAUAUCCCUUAGACAAGAUAAAUGUGUGUAGCUCUUUAUUGUGCUCUCUUUAAGUACAAUGUAAAACAGGAACAAUGAGGAAAGCAUAAAUUUCUGUUUUCUGAUAUUCAUGAGACAAAAAUAAAUUGUCUCAUAAAUUUCCGCUGCUAAGUUAAAACAGAAUCAGAAUUGCAAAUCUGUUUUAAAAGGGUAACAACAGUAAUUAAAAGGAAGGCAUAGAUUCAACCCCCCCUUCUCUAAGCCUACCACAACCUUCAGGUUUCAAGAAGAAAUAUAAUGUCUCCCCCCUGAUAUAGUGGUAAGAUGUACUUCAACGAAUCUUGGGUGUAUUUCUUAAAUCUUUUGGGUGUAUGUAUGUAAUCGUUUGGGUGUAUUUCUGUAAUCGUUUGGGUGUAGUUCUGUAAUCGUUUGGGUGUAUUUCUGUAAUUCUUUGGGUGUACUUCUGUAAUUGUUCAGGUGUAUUUCUGUAAUCGUUUGGAUGUAUUAAAUACUUCAUUUGGUGUUUCACAAUUGUUGCAGAACAUGGCCGUUGGAAAUCAUCCAAAUGAGAAAUUCUUAUAGCCUAAAACCAAUAAGCCAUUCAGGGUGGAAGACUACCCAAUGUUUAUACCCUUCUUGGACCUCAAAAAAUUAGCAUCACAUCCAUAUGUAAUUUUUCGUUUCUAAAAUUUCUUAUUACCAUUCUUUACUUAUGUGCCAAAUAAACUAAAACACUGUUCAAUGUGGAAAUGUUUCAGAUUUUUGCACCUGUUUGCUAUUCAAACCAUUGGUGGUUUUGGGUGGCUGAUGCAAGAAAGAGAAAAUUUUAUAUACUCGACCCACAUCACAAGACAUGUCCAUCCGAUGCCAGAAUGAACCUAAAUAAAUUCAUUGUAAGUUGUUUCUGUGUUUGUAUUUUAAUAUUUGGGUGUAUUUUUGUUCAAUAUAAGGUGUAAGUUUGUGCUCCUUUGGGUGUAUUACUUUAUUAAAUUUAUUCAUAUAUUACUGAUUUGUUUUGUGUUUUAAGGGAUAUGUAAUUUCAAGAAUGAGAGUAUAUGCUGGGGGGCACCUCUGAAGAGAAAGGAUCAGGAAAUUGAACCACCAUACAUUAACAUCUCAGGCCAAAAGACAAGGUAUAAAUAUUUCACUCUGAAAAUUAAUCCUUCCUAUAUGUAAUUUGCUAAUUUAUUUCUUGUUUUUCAGCUAUGACUUUGCUAUUUAUGUAAUGAAGUGGCUUGAAAUAAUUCAGCCCGAAAACGUUAAAAAGGGGAAGUAUGAGUGGGACAAUUGGACCCAGGUAAUUGUGUUUAAAACUAUAUAACUCUGUAUUACUUUACUAAAUUAACAUGGCUGAUUAAAAAGAAUAUUCUUUUAAACUGUAGGACGAGGUAGACCACUAUAGAGUAAAAUAUGCUUCCUGGAUUCUAUUCCAUGAAAUGAAUCAAGACAAAGCUGAAGCCAUUAGGGGAAGUGAUGCAAUAAGACUGUCCAAGCCAUCCUCAUUGUUAUUGAAUCCAUAUUGUCAGAUAAAUUCUAAUGAUAUUGACACUGUUUAAUCUAACUGUUAUGUAGUCUUGUAACAAUUUGAACACAUGCUGUAAAAUUUUGCCAAUAUAAUCCAGUUUUAUUAUAAAAAAAAAUUUCAUAAUUAAACUGCCUCUGCUGUAUUCAAAAUGUCUGAAUUACAGGUGAUAAAACAUGAAGGAAAACAUCAAACCAGGAAAUGUUACACCCAAAACAUGAAAUUUUACACCCAAGGAAAGUUGAAUAUACACCCAAACUUCUAUCCUCUGAUGUUUUAUCCCUAAAACCCUAAACCCUAAACCCUAAACGCUAAACCCAUAAACCCUAAAAUCCUAAACCCUAAACAUUAAACCCUAACCCUAAACCCUAAAACACUAAACCUUAAACCAUAAACCCUAACCCCUAACACCUAAACCCUAAACCCUAAAUCGUAAAGUUCUAAAACCAUAAACCCUAACCCUAAACCCAAAACCCUAAACCAUAAACACUAAACCACCCAACCUACUAUACACCCAAAACAUGGAAUUUUACACCCCAACAAUUUCAAUUUACACCCAAACUUCUAUCCACUGAUGCUGGAUUCCUAAACCCCCUAAACCCUAAACUCUAAACCCUAAAACCAAAACCCUAAACCCUUAAAACCUAAACCCUAAAACACUAAACCCUAAACCCCAAAAUACUAAACCCUAAACCAUAAACUCUAAACACUAAAUCCUUUAACACUAAACCCUAAAAUCCUAAACCCUAAAACCCUAAAACCAUAAACCCUAAACCCUAAACCCUAAAACCCUAAAACUCCAAACCUUAAACACUAAACCCUAAAACCCUAAACUCUAACCCUAAACCCUAAAACACUAAACCCUAAACCUUAAACCAUAAACCAUCAACACUAAACCACCCAACCUACUAUACACCCAAAACAUGGAAUUUUACACCCCAACAAUUUCAAUAUACACCCAAACUUCUAUCCACUGAUGCUGGAUUCCUAAACCCCUAAACUCUAAACCCCUAAACCCUAAACCCUAAACCAGAAACCCUAACCCUUAAACCCCUAAACCCUUAAACCCCUAAACCCUAAAGCCCUAAACCCUAAACCCUAAAAACUCAACCCUAAAACACUAAACCCUAAACCCUAAACACUAAAACCCUAAACCCUAAACCUAAACCCUAAACCCUAAACCCUAAAACCUAAACCCUAAACCCUAAAACACUAAACCAUAAACCUAUCCUAAACCAUAAACCCUAAACCCUAAACCAUAAACAUUAAACCACCCAACCUACUAUACACCCAAAACAUGGAAUAUUACACCCUAACAAUUUCAAUAUACACCUACACUUUUAUCCACUGAUGCUGGAUUCCUAAACCCCUAAACCUUAAACCCCUAAACCCUAAAACCCUAAACCCUAACCAUAAACCCUAAAACACUAAACCCUAAACCCUAAACCAUAAAUCCUAAACCAUAAACCAUAAACCCUAAACCCUAAACGCUAAACCCUAAACCAUAAAAACUAAACCCUAAACCUUAAACCCUAAACCCUAAACCAUAAAAAAUAAACAAAACAAUAAUUUAUAACAUAAACAGCAGCAUCUGAAAUAUAUAAAUGUAAAAUGUCAAACACAAGAAAAUUCAGAAAUACACCCAAAAAACUGAAAUUUACACCCAUAUUUUGUAACUAUACACCCAAAAAAUUAUCCACUGCUGUUGGUUUCCUGAACUGAUAAUUCAUAACACGUCCUUGAUAUUGGCUGGAAUUUGGACGCACCACUGAUGCAGCUUCAAAGAGGUUUAACUGGAAAUAAUAAACUCAUAUAUUAGCAAAACUAUUAACAAGAAAAUUAAACUCAAUCACCACGUAUUUAAAGAACAUCACUUUUACCUCGUUUAAAGCUUUCUUUUUCUUCUUCUUUGAGGCAUUUGUAAUCUGUUUGUCCAACUUUGAACCUAGUCUAUAUUUUGGACGUCCUCUUAUUCGAACCCUUGGAGGGCUUUAAAGCUCGUUAACGGAUUCCAAGUUGGCAUCUUCGUGAGAUAAUGAACAUGUCCCCUUCCUUUUGGCUUUCAGUUCUUCCAUCUCAACCAUGAUGUUAUCGUACGCACGGUGCAGAAUGGCAGUCAGCUCCUCCGAUUUUGAUGCAAAUUUGCAAAUAUUUUGCGAACGAAACACCAAUUCGUCAAACCUCUUGCUUCUUGGCUCCAACAGUGGCUCGUCGUGGCUGCUCUUGAUGUGUGUGUGUCGCCUCUUUACCUUUUUGCUCCAUUGUUCCAAUAUAUAUCUUGCUGACACUUGGGUUACUCGUUCAAAGCUUAACACGCUUAAGGCGUGACGGCACAAUAUGCCUCUUGACUCGAAUAAUAAGCAUUGGUAUUUCACUUGGGCUACUACUGAGUCGUAAGUAACCACAAACUUGUUGAAUAUUGAGCUGGAAACUUGUUCUCCAAUUUCGUAUAUGAAUAGCCUAGAGCAGAGUUCAUUAAUCUUGUGAUGCUGUUUGCCUUUCCUCUGAAUUGUGCUUGGACUUCACUAAACUUUUGGUGAGUGUACACAUGUUGAAACUGAGCUUUGAUGGAGGAUUUUGUUGCACACGGUAUGACCAUAUAAAAAUCUGCAGCAUCUGAUUCUCUCUCUGCUUGCUCCCUACUUCCGAGGCAAUUAUCGUAUUGUUUGACAAAUUGGAUAAGCGAGUUGUUCCGUGUAAUAAACUUGUUAAAAAAUUAAUGCAUGCUCUCGCUCCUUUGUGUGCUUUUCAUCCCUGCCUAGAAGUGGUAAUCCAGAUAAAUUAGAACACCCAUAUAUGACGGUCUUCGUAAAGAUCUGCAUAAUACACCCAAACCAGACUAUAUUACACCCAAAAAAUAUGCAAUUUACACCUCUGCUGCAGAUUUUAAAAAAUAUUACCUGAAAGCCACUUGUUGUCCACAAGACCAUACUUCAGCAGAAAAUCAUUCCAAUUCCUAUCAAAUGAGUCUUUGCUAUGAAGUUCCAAACAACUUGGCUCAAUUCUUGUUCAAUUUCUGCAUGUCCCUUGUACCCAUUUAAUUGACGCGCAUUGAUCGGUGAGAAACCCUUUAGGAGCAUUUUCUCCCAUGCAACGAAGCCAGCAUUGAAAUAACCAUUUGAAUGAUUCAAUUUCUUUGUUUUUCAUCAAAGCGCAUCCAAGAAGUGUUGACUGACCGUGGUGAUUCAUCCCAACAAAAGAACCACAAACCAAAUUAUACCUGAAACAAAUUACGAGAUUGCAGAAUGAAAAUCAUUACUUACACCCAACAAAUAAAUUUAUACACCCAAAAACAUCCAAUAUACACCUCUGCAGCAGAUUCAUAAAACAACAUUAAUUUACCAUCAUAAACAAGAAUAGCAUAUUACCUGUUUGUAUUAUAGGUGGUGUCAAAUGAAAUAACAUCUCUGAAAUAUUCAAAGGCAGCUCUGCUUCUUGCAUCGGCCCAAAAACCCAGCUUAAUCGACUGAUCGUCCUCCAAUUCGAGCUCGAAAAAAAAUUCUGAUUCUUCUCUUUCAUUCUUAAUAAAUAUUUCCCGAACUCCUUUGCAUCUUCUUAUUCCGAAACAUUCCGCACUUCUCUCGUGAUGUAAUUCCUCACGUCUUUUUCGAUAAAAUUUAACUCGCGGUGACCCCCAGCUGCAGCAACGAAUGAUUGGUAAGUUUUGCUUGGUCUGAUACCAGCCUCCUCGUUAUUCUCUAUUGUACGACAAAAUGGACAUGCUUAGUUCCCUGUGCUGUUUGAGCAUCUCUGCCUGAGUUGGACAGUAAGGAUGUAAAUGAUGCAACACGACCUUCGAAAUGAUCCAAGCACCAACAUCUUUCAAUGUGUGUAUAUAAAUUCGUGCAGGACAAUUUAAACCAGCUGUGGUAUUUGUCUUCUCGGUCGGAGAUAUUUUAGAUUUUCAUUUUUCCUCUCUGCUACAUGUAAUCAAUUGAUUCUAAUUUCGUUUCCCUUCUUAUUUGUGGUCCGAACUCUUGUAGAAAAACUUGCAGCCUUCGCAUAGUCCUUGUAAAAUUUUGUAGCAUCUUCAAGGGUGUUAAAAGUCAUUCCAACCUUGGGAACAAACUGGUCAUCAACAACACAGAGGGGCUGCAAAAUACACCAUGUUAAAAACAAGGAUAUACUAUAGAGUUUCUGCACGUCAUAAAAAAAUAACAAUUCAAUUAAAAUAUACCCAAGAAUUCCUGAUCUACACCCGAACAACAACAACUCAACUAAAAUAACAAGAAAAGUCAUAAAUUGUAAAUACACCCAAACUUCCAUAAAAUAUACCCAAACUUCCCUAAAAUACACCCAAAAAGUUCUUAUCUACACCCGAACGUCUGGUAUAAAAUGUAGAAAAUUAAUCAAAAAUAGUACAUUAGAUUCAAUUCAUAGAUUAUGUUCACGCAUUAACUUCACAAUCAAUGUUCACGGAUUAUUCAGCUAGACAAUCAUAAACGACUAAUUGCAUCAAAUUCAGAUUCAAUAAUUAACUGAAACUAAAUCAAACCUCAAGAACUUCGUUCAAUUCAAAUUCAAAAUCCACUUCGCCCUGGUUCAGCUGACAAUCUGAAGUUGAAUCAUUCAUUUUCAAAACGAGUUCAAAGCUUGAUUUCAGAAACCAUAAAAAUCGAAAAAAAAAUGAAGCUAGAGUAUAGAGAGAGAAACUCACGUAAAUGACGAAGAAGAUACCAGUGAUAAACGCACGUAAGGAGAUCGAAGAAAUUUGGCAAGAAACUCGAAAAAGGAAACGAAAUCUUUUGAAAUUUGGAAGUUAUAUAUUCGUGCGUUAAUUGAUUUGAAUUGAUUUAAUAUUCUGUUAAAGAGGCGCAUGAAAGACAGAUGCCACAAGAGGUGCGUUUGAGGGUAAAGGAGGGUAAAGGACUUAUAAGACUUGUAAGCCUUAAUUGGUUGUAUGUAGAGAUUAAUCUAUUUUUUAGUCCACUAAAGAUAAAAAAAUCACCCAAUUUUUUUUUAACUAAAAUAGGAUUGCAUUCAUUGAGAAAAUGAGUACAAAGAAGUCUUUACAGGACGCACACAAGGAAUAGAAAGGGUCAUCCCAAAAAUCAGAUAAUAAAACAAACAUUAAGAGAAAAAAGAAAACUUUAGUGCUACUGCAUUAGCUUGGUUUUAAAACGAUAUACUUCAUUAAGUUCCACUCCUUCUUUCCAUACUUUUUAAGGUGCCAUUUUUCUUUCUUCAAAAAUUCAUUUGUUUUUUGCUACCCAUAUUCUCCAUAGUAGGUUGCUGCUAAACUACUCCUCAUCCGAGUAUUAGAUCUUUUGUUCGGCCCCCUUAUAACCUCUAUCCACCAUGUGCAAAAAGCCUCAUCAUCUUCCUUCCCAAUUCCUCCAUGCAUGUCAGCAAGCUGUCAAACAACCUUCGAGUGUGGGCAAGAGACGAAGCAGUGCAUAAUUGACUCUGGAGUUUGGUUGCAUCGAGGACAUAUUUCAGAGAUUGUAGCUAUUCUUUUGUGCAGUUUCAAUCGGACAAGGAGCCCUCCAUGGAGCGUUUUCCACAUAUGAACAUUCACUUUUUCUGGCGUCUCCAAGUCCCAUACAGAAUUCCAUAGAGCUUUGUUCUUAAAUCUAUCAGCAAAAAAUUCAAUUGGAGGAUGGUAUAACUGGAAAGCAAUUCCAUAACCUGAACUGACCGAGUAAGCUCCAUUUCUUUCCUUGCUCCAUAUCAAUUUAUCACCGUCUUCAUAUAUCUUGACUCUGAAUUGACUGUGCAAUUUUUGUUGGGAAGCAAUUAUUAAUUAAUUGAGAAUUUCAUUCUCCUGUGUCUGUCAUCAAUUGAGAAAUCCAAAUGAGGUUUGGCUGAAUUUGAAUGUGUAGUUUGGCUAGUAAGGUCCCUUCAUUGUUAACCCAGUUUGUUUCCCAAAUGUUUAUUGAGCUCUGUCUCCCUACUUUCUAAAUUGCUCUUUGUUUAAUGAUUUUUCUCCCUUACAGUAGACUUAUCCAUGCCCAUGAAGAAUUAUUCCCAACACCAGCUUUCAAGAAAUCACAGUGUCUGAAAUACUUGCUUUUAAAGACUCUUGUAACCAGUGAAUAAGGUUUUGUAAGAAAUCGCCACCCUUGUUUUUCCAACAUUGCAAGAUUAAAAGCUUUGAGAUCUUUAAAACUCAUACCUCCUUGACAUUUUGGUCUACACAAUGUGUCCCAACUGAUCCACUGUAAUUUUCGUUCAUCAAGUUUUUGACCCCACCAAAACUACAUUAAUGGUCUUUGAAUGUCCUCUAUGAGUUUUUCACCCAAUUGAAAUAAAAGAAUUCUUUUACCUUAUCUUUUCAAAAUUUUAAUCAUUCUCAAAACUCUAGUAUUAUUGUUGUCCCACCAGCCUCCCACUAAAUUUGCAACUAGAACAAUCAUUUCUUUUGUAAGUAAAAUGAACAUUCAUUUUUUUAUAUGUAAAAUAAAAUAUAAUAAUGGAUUUGCAACAAGAAUAAGCAUCUCUUUUAUAUGUAACUAGAACAACCAUUCCUUUUAUAUGUAAAAUGAACAUUCUUUUUGUAUGUAAAAUAAAAUAUAAUAAUGAAUUUGCAAUGAGAAUAACCAUUCCUUUUUGUAUGUAAAAUGAAAUCUGCAUGCGAGGAAUUAGGGAGUUAUAGAGAUGGAUUUGUAAAGUAUAAUGGUUUUUGAAAUGAUUUGAAUUGUAAUAAAUAUAAAAUUUUCAAUAGAAUAGGGAGUUAUAGAGAUAGAUUAAAUCAGCUUCAUAAAAAAUUACUUUCUUUAAAUUGGCUAUGAGUAGUAAUAUAUUGUAUAAGUUUGAUAAAAAAAAAAUUCUUUGUUAAUUCUAUUAUCUAGAUAUUGUAGGAAGAGGUGUAAAAAAGAAAAAUAUGAUAACUUAUAGUUACUCUUAUCCAAUUAGACGGAAUUGAUUCUCUUCACGGCUGCGUCUGCAUGGGCUGCGGAGAGACAGCGGUGCGCGGUCAAGUUGCAGUGGUAUUGGGGUGGGAUGCAUUAGCGUCGACAGGCUAUAGGGGUUACAGUGGCGCAGGAUGAGAUUAUUGCGGCGGCGUGCACAGGGCAGCGGCUGAACAUCGUUAGGAAAAAUGGCAGUAUUUGAUGCAUCGAAAUGGCUGUCUCCGGUACCGACGACGAAUUUUGGGAGUGGACCGAAUAUUGACGACGACAAAUUUUGAGCAUGAACAAGAAAUUGGAAGAUUAUGGUAAAAUUAAAAGUAACCGUAUGUAGUGCGAAUAUGUAUAAUUAUUAAUUCUAAUUUUCUAAAUUUUAAAAUUUGUAAUUAAAUAAUUAAUUAAGAAUCUAAAUUUUAAUUUUUAAUUUAUUAUUUUAAAUUUAUUGUUCACAUUGUUUACGAUCAUUNNNUAGACCGAUUCAAGAUAUAAUUUAUCGAUUUUUUGGCCAAAUUAAUUUAUUUAAUCUAAUUUUGAUAAAAAUAACAUAGUUUCAUCAAUUAUAUAUAUUAAAUUUUAAUUAUUUAAAAAUAUUCGUUUUAAACGUAUUUGAGUGACUUUGGCAACAAAUAUAUUUUAUCAUUUUUUUUUAAUUCCUUUUUGCAUGGAGCAAGAAGCUCCUAUCCUCAUGUGCAGGCAUUUCACUGAGGGACCUCACAGCCCUUAACUUUCCAGUGCUUUCCUAGCAUUUUGCUGCCGCAGCACCACCGAUCUCGUUCGAUCGGAGAGAGUGAUGGCGGAAUUGGAUGUUGCUGAGUCAAAAAACGACAAACGGAGCAGGUUGAAAUGGCGAAGGAAGCGUGCCUUUGCCUUGUGUCGUAUGAAAAGUUGUUCGUGAUCAAACUAAGCAAUUUAAAGAAACAAGAAGUUGAUGUCAAAGAUUGGACUUGUUUGCCUCCACCAGAGUUCGAUUUCGAUUUGAAACUUCCAAAGCCUUUGUCGUAUCCUUUCGAGUUCGACUCCAAGAUCUAUAUGGUGUCCGGGGGGCCGGGUAGAAUCGGGAGUGCGAGUGUCUCCUAUCCUAUCUACGAAUUCAAAUUUGGGGAGGGCAGUUUUGAGCGUGCGGAAUCACUGGAUGAUGCACCGCUCCCUUUUGACAAAGCAUUCAUGGCAAACACGCCAGGCUCAGGCGAUGUUUAUUACUUCUAUAUGGAAUCACCGGUCAAAGGUUCACCUGACUGUUACGUUCUUUGUUCUGGAUCUAGAACUUGGAAACCCUUAAUGGCUCCUCCGACCGUCAGCGACCCACCUUUCCGAUUUAACAUGUUCCUCCUCGACAACAACAUCUUUCUUUCAUCGAGCAGAAAUAGAGACACCUGUUUGGCCCGCUUCGACCCCAUAAAAGAGAAUUGGACGACUGAGCCGGCCGCUGAGAACAAUCUUUCGAACUUCAUAGACACCUUUGCGGGUGGUAACUACAGUAGUUUUACUUAUCACCCGUACAUUUCUGUGUCCCUUCCGGGUCUUGGCAGCAGCAACUACACCGUUUGCCUCACAAAUGAAUAUGUGGUGGAACCUCCUCCUAAGACACCUUUGAACAAGGUCCUUGCCAUUCUCGUUAACCACCGGAAUAGCCGUGUUGCAUUAUAUCAAUACCUUGAUGAGUGUUUUGAGGGUAUUCAACCCAGUGUGGGAGGAGAUUCCAGGUUAAAUUUUGUUGACCUUGGCAACGGCAAGCUGUGUGCAAUACUCUCUGGAAGUCUAUAUGAUUUCGAAUCUAAUUCAUCGGCGCUAUGCUUCUCAGUUUUCACACUGUCAGUGGACUUUGCAGCAUUGCAACUUGAGGGUGGGGCUCCUCCCAUGGAGCGAGAUUUCUUACAAGUGACUGUCCAUAAGAAGAGUGCCUACACCAUGGAGAUCUCCAAGUUUGGUCAUCAUAUGCGCCACGCGUUUGUUUGGCCACCUAGUAAGGGAAGAAGAUAGUAACGUUUCUUGUUAUUUCUUGUGGCUUGUUAUCAUCCUUAGUCGUUUUCAAUAAGAUUAUGAAUGAACAAUGAAUUAAAUAUUAAUGUCUUUCAGAAAUAUGACCUUGCUUGAAUUGUGUCUAUAUUCUCUUUAGCUCAUCAUACAAAAUUACCUCUGCUUUCUGUUUCAACUUUCAAAAUACAUGAUGCAUUUUAAAUAAUUAAUUGAAGUUUCACAAAGUUAGAAUGACUCUUGUUUGAAAAAUUUAGUUUAAAAAUUUGAUUUGAGUCAUAUUUAUAAUAUUAUCGUUUGAUUACAUUAUUGAUUUGAUUAAGAAAACAAGAAAAUAAUAAGAAUGAUGAUAAAGCAAAAAUAAUCUUCCGUCCGGGUUAUAAAAAUUCAAAUCAAGUUUCUAAAUGAUUGAAGGAAAAUAAUGAUGUUAUUUUUAAUUUUUUUAAUGUCAUUCCUGACAUUAUUUUUUUAACAUUAUCAAAAUAGGUCAUGUUCCUAAACAAAAUAAGCUAAUGUAGUGGUCAGUUUUAAACAAAGUGCUAUUGAGGGGUUCUAUGAGUCUAUUCUUUCAAAGAUGAUCAUUGCUACAAAAUAUAAUGGUACAUGCAUAUGGAGUAAAGAAAUUUACAAGUCUCAUUCAUAUAUGAUAAUAUACUACUCUGUACAGAGCCCCAAACUAAAACAAAAGACAGGGAAGCAAAAAGUUAAGAACAAGAAGUGGAAACCUAAAAUCUGAUGGGUGACUUUAUCAACAUUUUCUUCCAAUACAUAUUUCACAUAACCAAACCAUUAUCUCCACCACAAGCAACAUAGUUUAGUGUAGUCAGUUCUAUUCAAAAUCUAUUAUUUGUUGUACAAUGGAUUUCAGCUUCAAAAGGCAUUUGAGUCAUCAAUGGUGAAUUCCCCAUGUAAGCACAUCUGGUUCUGCAUGUAGACAUAAACAUUUAUGUUCCUAUUCACUUGCCCCUGGCCACGUAUCUGCGAAAAUGGAAAUCCAUUUUGCAUAUCUUGCAAGUCAUGACUGACAGGGCCGUUUCGGUCCACGUUAUCACAUCUUCUGACAAACUGGUCAAGAGUUCUCUGCCUUGAAGGGCUAUGCUCAAUAGUAGUAUGCUUUGCAGGGCUACUCAAUGGCUGAUUAUUUGGCACAACUAAGGUGUUCUCAUGGCCAUCUAACAUCUGAUUUUUCAAUAACUAAAAUUCAGAAUGGUUUCUCAAAAACAUCAAAAAGUAACUCUCAAAUACUACUUGAGUAUAAUCUUGACAAAAUAUGAAUAUAAACCAGAAUGGAAACCUUGAAGCUAAGCAUUAUGUACAUUUUGCAUUACAUAUGAUAGUUCAAGAAGAUGUAGAAAUGUACCUGCCCCAAAUUAUCCAGUUUGAAUUGCACUACAUCCCUAUGAUGUAAAAAUUUAUAUCAUCAAUGCAUAAUAAAUGUUAAGUCAAUGCUAUACCAAACAGCGAAAGACUGCAGAAAUAACAGAACCUACCAUAUGAUGUCGUGAACCGUAUCAUUUGCCAACAAUUAGUAUAUAUUUACUGAUGAGACCUGCAAACAAGAACUAACUAGUCAAAAAAACAGAAGAGCACAUGUUGUCUUUGCUACUCAAAAAUUUUGAUGUGAGAGUUCUUUUCAUUCGAGAUUAUCUGUUUUCUUAAUGUUGUCAUGCAACUAGUAACAACUCUCUCCUUUCUACUUAAUGAGUGUGAGAAUACCAGGCCAAUUCUAUGAGCACGAUCUUUGACCUGAAUCAGGUCACCUGGAGUCCAGGAUUGUUCUGCAAAGCUUGCAGCAGUUAAAGUUAAUCCAACUCCCCCAGCUUUAAUGGAUAGCUGCAUGAUUAUGUGUCACAUGAAAUCAUUAUCUCAAGCACAAAUACUAACCCAUACAACAGAAAAGAUGCUUAUAACGGAAACACAUGGAAGAAAUGCACAACGAAAAAUACCACCAUACCACAGCCGCUUUGAUAUAAUCCUUUUCCUAAAAUCCUAACCAAUUGUUGGCUUCAUGCACCGGGUGUACCUCCAUCAAUCGGAUGCAACCCACUUUUUUCUUCUGGAAAAUUUCAACAGUUUUUAAGUGUCUAUAAUUUCCAAUAUAAAAAAAAAUGAGUAAAAUUGAAAUGGUCUUGCAAGAAGGCACUCAUGUAUCGCAUCUAUCAUUGGCUGAUGGUGCGCAAAUAUAAGAAACUUGCAACCUGCCUGCAGUGAUCACAACAUAUUACACGUGAUAACCACCACUAGCCUAUAUGAAAUAGAAAGAUGGAUGCAAGAGAAAAAAAAUUGAAGCAAUCAAACUUUCAAAUUAAGCAUACACAAUGAUUUGGGGCGACAGGAAGAUGGAUGAAAUAUAAGAAUUAACAUAUAGUCUAGUUUACAGUUCGUGUUUGUUUUGGUCACCACUCAGACCAGCCAACGUUGACACCAAUAAUAAUUGUGGCAUACGUAUUAAAAUGUUAUAUGCUGACAUUUUCACUACACUGUUCGGCCAAUUUAAUUCAUUCAACUUAUGGUCCUACAUUAAGGGGCACCGACUGCAAUAAAAGCAAUAAGAAAAGACCAAUUUAACCAACAUUGAACAUAUUUUAAACUAUUGGAUGACAAAAGACCAUGCAUCAUGGAAGGACACCAAUCAAAGGAGAUGGCCGAGUUGAUCAUAAUAAUUGAAUCAAUAAGGGAGUUCUCAUACAGAAAUCAAAUCAAAAGUCCACACGUGGGCGGCUCCACCUCAAUGGGUAGCCCUUUCCUCUCGUGUGUCCUAACAGAAUAACAGAUCUAACGUGUGGCCUACACGUGAGGCUAGCAACACCCCUGCUAGCUGGAGUCUGAGUUAGAUGCAUCUAAGUUAACGUCAUAACCGCCGUUAACUACGGUUUUCUAAUACGAGCCUCCAAACCAAUUCAAAACAUAUAGUUUCAAAUACAAUAAAUCCUUGAUCUUUCAAAUAUAUAAGAUAUCAAAUCAAAUCAAAUCAUAUUAUACUUUCUCAUCAGAAAUCUUUCCAAUCUUACUUUUUCAAUCAUAAGAAAUUUCAAAUAUAUUUCACAACCUUUAAAGUGAGUACUAACAAAUACUUCAAUGCUUUAAAAACAGAUUUUCAAUUAAAAUCAAACAUUUUAGAAUAAUACAAAACUUCUUCAAAAAUAUAUAUAGUCUCAUGUAUAGUUUUGAAAGUAUAAACUUCAUAAAAACGAAUUAUUUAAUUCUAAAAAAUCAACUAUUCUAAUCCAUUUAAAAUCAUUCAAAACAAAUAUAGUGAGUAUAAUUCAAAAAUCAUAAUUGAUAUAUAUCAAAAUAAUUAUAGAUGCACAAUCAAACAAUUAUAAAUGUAAAGCCUACUCACAGCGUGGUCCUAAGGGACCGAAUAGACCAAACCCGGAGUGCCGAAUUAAAUGGUACGAAAGAGUGCAGAAUUUGGAUUGGGUAGUAGCAACAAUUUCAAUUCUCACUGCAGUAAUGCCAACAGCCCUAGUAACAAUAACAUGGGACAACCACGGUAACGAUGGCAGCAAAUCCAACAGCCUAUGGUAGUUUAAAAUUGAGCAAAGGCAGAAAGGGGGUAUUAAGCAAGGUAGGACAAGAUGAGUCUUACCAAAGAAAACAAGGGGAUGGAGCAUCAGCAGCUCCGGUGACCCUCUCCAACGUCGACGGUGAAGGACACAACAGAAUAACGGUGGCGGUGGUUCCUCUCCUCUGGAGUGACUGAAGAAAAAGUUUGACAGAAAACUUCGGCAGUUCUUUAGAAGGCUCAUCUGGUUACAUAUAAAGCCAAAAUCCAAAGCAAAUGCUAAUAGAACAACAAAUGAUAUUUCAAAAACCAGAAGAAAUUACAUCUAAGUUUAUAACCUUUUUUUUUUUUGUUAUGGAAGAUAAAUAGAAUUAGAGACAAGUAAUAUAGCCAUAAACAAUGACACUGAAACAAAUGUUAAGGUUUUGAAGGAAAGAAGCAUACCUUGUUUUGUCCCUGGUUUCAAUGAGGAGGGUAAUGCUCUAGCUCCUGGAUUGCAAUACAAACACACUAUGAGCAGUGCUCCUUCCAAAAACUGAACCACAGAGUACAGGGAAGAAUACUAAAGAGUAAAGACUAUAGUACCAAACAUCUUUUGAUUCUUCUGCAUUGUUUUCUAACAUUAAAAUGAGGCAUACAGCCAUACACACACAUGAACAACACUUUAACAAAAUUACCCACACAGCAAAAGACAAAUUUAACCCAACAAGAGCAAAAAGGAAAGCAAAGCUAGAUAAACCCCAUGAACAAUACAUAAUGGGGACAACAUGAAAUGGAAAAAAGAGGAUAACUUUACCCUCUGAGGACGGAAUCGGAAAUGGGGUUUGGUGGGAAGGGUUGGGAAUGGUUGGCAGACGGUGGUUUUCGAAAAUGGUGUUGUUGUAGAUUGAAUUGUUGAGAAGAAGGAGGGGUAGAAGAGUCGCGAAGUUGAGCAAUUUUCUGGAAAGCAUCGCGUUCAAGAGAAUCGAGUUCUUGUGCGGUCCUCUACCUCCACUUCAAACUUCUUUGGUGACAACUCUUGAUACUUGGCAAGUUGUUCCUUCGCCUCGUCAUUCCGACGAAGCAAAUUACAAAUAAUUUUUUUGCAAAAGGUGUGAAUGGAGAUUGGAGAGCGCCUCCUUGUCCUGGCCGACUUCAAGCUUCUGCUCUAGUAGCCACUUCAGCUCACUCACAACUUCCGUCUCAGCGUUUUCGACAUUGGAUUCUUCCAAAAAUCUAAGGAGACAACUCUUAUGUGAGAAACUAUUUAACAAAUCAAAAAACUUAUAUUUAUAAAUUUAAAUAAUUUAAAACUAAAAUAACAUCGAAUUGAUUAUUCAUGUACAAUCAAUCAUACUUAUACUCCUUUAUAAAUCUUAAUUUCUAAUGUUCAUUCAUACAAAGAAAAAAGAACACAUCUAAAAAACAAAAAAAAAAAAUCAAAAGAACUAUUGUAGUGUUUUUCAUCUUUUCUGAGUUUUCUUACAUCUCUCUCAAAGAACGUCUCUCUCUCUCAAUUCUCAGACUAAAACUCUCUCUUCUCUCUCACAGUAGCCUACUAUAGUCUCUUUUAGUCUCACUCGAAUCUCGUCUCAGUCACACUCGCCGGCGUCUCCACGUGUCGCGGCCUUCCCUAGGAUCGUCAUCGCUCGUCGUCUUCUGGUUUUGGGACCUCGCCGUUGCUGAGUCGUCGUAGACCGUAGUCCAUUGGUGAGUUCCUGCAUCGUAGGUUCUCAUGUUCUGUCUUUUCCAGAUUUUUCUUCUCCUUGUAUUUUGAGAUGAUGUUGAAUUGCUAACCAAUUAAUUUACUUUGUUUCUGAUAUAAAUGUUGCUGUAAAUCAUUGUAAUAAUUCUCUUAAAAUUGUUCAUUUUAUAAUAUUUGAUUCAAAGAAGUUGUACCAACUUGAUCUUGAAGAAGAAACUGUUGAAUUAAGAAAUUAACUAAAUUAAUUAAUGAUGACAAAUAUUAUUUUAUUGGGCAAAUUAAAUAAUUAGUGUUGAUUAUUUAUGAUUAAAUGUUGUAGGCCAAAACUCAUUAUUGCAACAGCCCAAGUGGAUGAAAAAUAUAAACAAGGCUGGUGGGCUACAAUCCAAAGGAAUCCCAAAAGAAAUCAAGCAAAGAAAUAAACGGGCUACAUGAAUGAUAUCCGAUCCAAGCCCGAUAGCAAGCAAUUUUCUCUCAUGUGCUUUCACCAAAAGCAACGUAUACUUUUUUCCUCUUAGUCAAAAAUCAGAGAAGUAAGAGAAAGCUUAGUCCCUAAGUUGUUCACCAAAUAACCAAGAAAGAGAAGGUUAAGCAAAAGGUUGAAGUCUAAUCACCCACAUCAAACUGUAUCAAGAAGUCAGAAGCUAAAAGGCGAUUUCAUUUCCUUAUACAUGCAUCAUAUCUUCUUCUCUUCAUCUUCAAUGUUCUGCCUAUCCAUUCUGGGUUAAAUGGGAAAGAUGGUCUCUACUCUUCACUGCUGUGCAUCUACGGUCAUAAGUGUGUCUUGGAGACCAAGUUUUUCAAUGGCCAAGAUCUGGGUUUACCAUUGAAGAUAUCUGUUUCUGUUGCCCUGUGUUUUUCGAUCAACAAGAGAAGGUCAGAACCAAUGUUCCUAUUUUGAGGAUUAAUGGAAAAAAGUGAGAUGGUGAAUUGGUAAAGCACAAAGCUCGAGAGUUGAGGAGAGUGCAACUCAGCAACAUGCAAGGAGAUACAAAAGAAGAUUUCUCACUAUUCUGAAGCUAAGGAGAAAUAACCAGUGUUCUUGAGGUGUAUGUUUUGAGAAGAGCUCUCUGAAGAAGUUCAUCUACUUGGAUAGUACUUCCUAGUCAAAGGAGCAUUCCGCCAGAAUUAAGAACUGAAUCAGAGGCUAGCAAAUCUGGUUUAUCACAUAGCAAAGAGGCUGUUGUAGAAUCAAUCUCCUUCACGUUUUGCAGAUUGUAAUUUACUUUUCAAUGUUUAUCUUUCUGUAAUUUCUUGAGGUAAAAGGUUGAAUGAGAGAGUCGUUGAAAGAGCCUAAGAGAGAAAAAGGCAGAGAGAUACACAUGAGUGAAAAGGCUAGAGUUAUUUCAGAUUUCUUUAGGUUAAGUCUGUGUCUUGUAUCCUGUACCUGUGAGGUACCCCUUUCUUAGUUGGGUUAGCACUAAGAGGAAGAGUUAGGUAUUAGCAUAAUCAAGUCAAGUUAGGUUAGAACUUGAGUGUGAAAGGGUUGUGUCAAUCCUGUAGAAUUGGUGUAUGUAAUACUUUAACUAUAGUGGAAAUUUUACCACUGUUGUAGUGGAGACUAGACGUAGGUUGCAUUGCACAAGGCAACCGAACCAGGAUACAUGAUGGUGUCAGCUUCUCUCUUCCCUGCUCUGUUCUGUUUUUUGAUAUUCAUGAGACAAAAUGAAAUUGUCUCAUAAAUUUUUCGCUGCUGAGUUCAAACAGAUUCAGAUUGCAAGUUUGUUUUAAAAGGGUUAUUACAGUAACUUAAAACAAGGUCAUAGAUUCAACCCCAUUCUCUAAGCCUUCUACAACCUUCAAUUGGUAUCAGGAGCCUUGGUCUCAGAAUCAAGCUUCACUGCUUGGAGCAAAGGUCCAAUAGCGAACAACUUGGGCACAACCACAGUUGCCUACACUCUAACUGAAGGCCAGUCAAACAAUAGGCCUCCCUUCUUCAACGGGAAGAACUUUGCCUACUGGAAAGAGAGGAUGAGGAUCUUCAUCCAAUCUAUUGACUACAACAUAUGGAAGAUUGUUGUGAGCGGUCCCAAGAUUCCAACAAAAACAAGUGCUCAUGGAGUGGUGACUCCAAAAGAAGAAGCUGAAUGGAAUGAGGAUGACAAGAAGAAAAUGGAGCUGAACGCUAAAUCCAUCAACCUUCUUCAUUGUGCUAUCAGCUUUGAAGAGUAUCGAAAAGUGUCUAGAUGCAAGACAGCUAAAGAAAUCUGGAAAAAACUCCAGGCUACACACGAAGGCACUAAACAGGUCAAAGAAACGAGGAAUGAUAUGCUGCGAAAAGAGUACGAGAUGUUCAAUAUGAAGGAUGGAGAAAGUAUUGAUGAAGUGUUUGAGAAAUUCUCAAUUAUAAUCAACAACCUUGAUGCUAUAGGUACAAACUACUCAGAACAAAUCCUAGCGAGAAAACUCCUUAGAAGCCUCACAAAAGAAUGGAAAACCACUGCCACUUUCCUAGCCGAGAGCAAUAACCUAAGCCCUAUAACAUAUGAUGAGCUGAGAGAAAAAUUCCUUGCCUAUGAAACCACACACACAAACCCGGACUCAAAGAAAAAGAGAAUAGCCCUCAAGUCAAAAAUAAAAUCAAAAGAGAGCGAGUCUAGUGAUGGUAUUUCAGAUGAUGAGCUUAUGUUUUUUGUUAGGAGAUUUAGAAGGACGAUGAAGAACAAGGGUAAAUACAAGGGUUCAAGCUCAAAGGAACACAAGAUGGACUUGAGCAAGGUGACUUGUCAUCAUUGCAAGGAGGCUGGACAUUUCAAGUUAAACUAUCCGAAACUCAAGAAGGAGGACAAAGGAAAGAAAGAAAAGAAGAGAGUGCUCAUGGCAUCUUGGGAGGAUCUUGAGAAUGACUCCAAUGAGGAAGAAGAUUCUGAAGGUGAAGAUAAAAUCUGCUUCAUGGCUGGUAAUAAUAAUCUUGAUGAGGUAAAUUACUAUGACUUGUCUAUAGAUGAUUUACAUGCUAUAAUUGAUGAUCUUACACUAAACACCUCAAAACUGUUGGAUAAGUACAAUAAAUGCAGAUCUGAAAAAGAUGUGUUAAAAGUUGAAAAUGAUUUUUUAAGAGAAAAGGUGAAGAAAACUGAAUGUGCUUUGGAUAUUAUUGAAGAAAACAGAUUUCUAAAAUCUGAACUUGAAAAACUAAAAGGAAAGCACAUUGUGGAUCCUUCUCAAGAGCUUGUUGCUGAAAAUGAAAGACUUAAUAAAAUGAUUAAAAUGUUGAAUGGUGACUUAGCAAAAUUUGCUCAAAGUUCUAGUAACUUGGACAAAUUACUUGCAAGUCAAAGACUGUUGUUUGAAAAAUCUGGUUUAGGCUAUGUAACCAAGGAAAGUGCAGUUUUUAAUAAUUCCUCUAUGAAAUUUGUGGCUUCUUCAUCAAAUACUAAAUCCAUAUCCAACAAAUCUGGUAUUGGAUAUUUUCCCACACUUGAGGAGAAAUUUGAUGAAGUUUACACUAGUGAAACUAAAUUAAUUAAUGAUGACAAACAUUAUUUUAUUGGGCAAAUUAAAUAAUUAGUGUUGAUUAUUUAUGAUUAAAUGUUGUAAGCCAAAACUCAUUAUUGCAACAGCCCAAGUGGAUGAAAAAUAUAAACAAAGCUGGUGGGCUACAAUCCAAAGGAAGCCCCAAAGAAAUCAAGCAAAGAAACAAACGGGCUACAUGAAUGAUAUCCGAUCCAAGCCCGAUAGCAAGCAAUUUCUUCCCAUGUGAUUUCACCAAAAGCAACGUAUACCUUUUUUCCUCUUGGUCAGAAAUCAGAGAAGUAAGAGAAAGCUUAGUCCCUAAGUUAUUCACCAAAGAAGCAAGAAAGAGAAGGUUAAGCAAAAGGUUGAAGUCUAAUCACCCACAUCAAACUGUAUCAAGAAAUCAGAAGCUAAAAGGUGAUUUCAUUUCCUUAUACAUGCAUCAUAUCUUCUUCUCUUCAUCUUCAACGUUCUGCCUAUCCAUUCUGGGUUACAUGGGAAAGAUGAUCUCUGCUCUUCACUGCUGUGUAUCUACGGUCAUAAGUGUAUCUUGUGGACCAAGUUGUUUUUCAAAGGCCAAAAUCUGGGUUUACCAUUGAAGAUAUCUGUUUUUGUUGUCCUGUGGCUUUCUGUCAACAAGAGAAGGUCAGAACCAAUGUUCCUAUUUUGAGGAUUAAUGGGAAAAAGUGAGAUGGUGAGUUGGUGAAGCACAAAGCUCGAGAGUUGACCUAAGAGAGUGCAACUCAGAAACAUGCAAGGAGAUACAAAAGAAGAUUUCUCACUAUUCUGAAGCCAAGGAGAAAUAACUGGCGUUCUUGAGGUGUAUGUUCUGAGAAGAGCUCUCUGAAGAAGUUCAUCUACUUGGACAGUGUUUCCUAGUCAAUGGAGCAUUCCACCAAAAUGAAGAACUGAAUCAGAGGCUAGCAAAUCUGGUUUAUCACAUAGUAAAGAGGCUGUUGUAGAGUCAAUCUCCUUCAUGUUUUGCAGAUUGUAAUUUACUUUUCAUUGUUUACCUUUCUGUAAUUUCUUGAGGUAAAAGGCUGAAUGAGAGAGUCAUUGAAAGAGCCUAAGAGAGAAAAAGACAGAAAGAUACACAUGAGUAAAAAGCCUAGAGUUAUUUUAUAUUUCUUUAGGUUAAGUCUGUGUCUUGUAUCCUGUACAUGUGAGGUACCCAUUUCUUAGUUAGGUUAGCACUAAGAGGAAGAGUUAGGUAUUAGCAUAACUAAGUCAAGUUAGGUUAGAACUUGAGUGUGAAAGGAUUGUGUCAAUCCUGUGAAAUUGGUGUAUGUAAUACUUUAGCUAUAGUGAAAAUUCCACCAUUGUUGUGGUGGAGACUGGACGUAGGUUGCAUUGCACAAGGCAACCAAACCAGGAUACAUGAUGGUGUCAGCUUCUCUCUUCACUGAUCUGUUCUGUUUUCUGAUAUUCAUGAGACAAAAUGAAAUUGUCUCAUAAAUUUUCCGCUGCUGAGUUCAAAUAGAUUCAGAUUGCACGUUUGUUUUAAAAGGGUUAUUACAGUAACUUAAAAAAAAGUCAUAGAUUCAACCCCCCUUCUCUAAGUAUUUUACAACCUUCAGAAACAAAUUAUCUUUUGGGAAAGAGGAAGAAGAAGAAGAAGCCCUUUGCCAGUGGAACUUCAACGGCACCUACCAAAUUUUUUUAUUCUUUCACAGAAUUCAAUUGCAAUACCGUAUCUAAUACGUUUGUUUGUUGUGUUUCAGGUAUUUCUAGGAAUUAUUUGCACAAGAGGCGCACCACUGGUGGAAAGAAGAAGGUUUUCGGUUUGGAGGAAGAAGAGAAAGUAUGCUUUCACUCUGUUUUUCUUAAUUUUUUUCCGAAGUGCCUUAGUUUCUCUUAGUUUCAAAACCAAAUCCUCCCAAAUUUUAACCCUCGUCUGAAUUUCAACCCAAAUCCUCUGUCCAUAUUCAAUACCAAGAUGAUGGCACAGAAAUUUGUAGUUGAUUUGAAUAAGCCCCUUGUUGAUCGAUGAUUCUAAUAUUUACUUGGAUCACUGAUUUCACGUUAUUGCUUUUAGAUCAUAUUUACAGCUGUAGUAAUUUUUGGAGACUGAUUUUGAAUUUUUUUUUUCCGAAAUUGACGUUAUUGCUUGAGAUCUUAUGUGUGUGGAUAUGCAAAUGGCCUUCUAUUUCUCUUGUGGUCAAUGAGACUAAAAGCUAUAACAAACAAAUUAAUAAAAUUGUGUCACAGCACGUAUGUAAGAAAUCAUUGAAAAUUUCCAAGUGCAUAUGCUCUAUUUCCAUGUGCCGGAGGUGGGUGAAUGGUGUAUCUAAAUCUAUGCCAUUUAAGCAAAUUGCUUUGAUGCUACCCUAGACUGGCAUCUUCAGUUGCAUUUGGCAUUUACUUUUCUAGCCAUGUAACUUAUUCUCAGUUGCUACUGUCUGGUUGUUAAUUGAAUAGUGCAUGUUUCAUUCUCUCCCCUUGAUCAUCUUUUAUUUCUUUUGCCUUUCUUUUUGUAUGGUUGGAAUUUUGGAUUCUUUGAAAGCAGUUGUUAAGAUUUGGUUCGUGGUUGCUGAAUCGUACUAGCGUGUGAACAUUUUAGAAUUUAUGGCCAUCUGAACUAGGAUUACAUAAAAAUAAACAUAUAUAGAACUUUCUUUUAUCUAGGAUGUCACAUAAAAUAGGGUAAAGAUUUAGGAAAAAAAAAGGAGUGAAUCAUCUCUAAACAAUUUUGCAAACUUCAGCAGAAUUAAAUGACAUUCUCUCAUUUGACAUGAUGGAAAUAAGAUUGCAGGAUGAUUAGCAUUUAGCAUUACUGAGUGGGUUUGUUUUGCAAAUGUGGUUUCCCAUGCUUAUUUCUUGUUGGAUUUUCCAUCAUUGUUGGAAUUGAAGCUGCCAAGGGGUUCAAGUGGUUUCUAAACAAGCUGAAUAUGUGUUCAGGAAGUGGUAAUAACUCUGAGAACUGUAGAGUAGAUAGACCCCAACGCCCGGAAGGGCAGGGUUGAUACCUUUCAUAUUCCUCGAAGCUGAUAACAAGUUGAGCAUGUUGACAUGUUUGGCGUUGAGCUCUAUCUUCUUUUUAUCUUUAUAAUUUCAUUCGGUCUCAGUCUUAGAAAUGACUACACUAUCUGCUCCUUUUUUGGUUGGGACUUGGGGACCAUUCAAGAUUAUCUUCUAAAUGUUGUAAUAUACUAACUAAACAAAUAUCUUCAUUCUCUCCUUCCAAUAGCUGUAGUUCUUUCCAUUGAAAAACGGAGGUCUGUUGUUGAGUGUAGGUCACCACAUUGGAAUCGUUGUUGUUUGCCAUCAGGAUCUUUCCUCCAAACUACAAAGCUUGGUCUCUUUGAGACCAAGCUCUAAUACCAAUUGAUGGUUAUCAGUGGCUGAGAGAAUAGGGUGUUGAAUCUUAGCCUUAUUUUCUGCUGAAUAUUACUUUUUACUUUUUCAAGGAAAAUUAGGAGAUGUUUUUACUUUUGUCUGAUAUCGAGUUGAGAGACAUUUUCAUUUUGUCUCCUGAGUAACAGAAACAGAAGCGAAAUAGAGAAGAAGUAACACCCAGAUGUAUCCUGGUUCAACUACUUGGUGCAAUGUAGCCUAAAUCCAGUCUCCAUCACAAUUAUGAUGGAAUUUCACUAGCCUUUUUAACACAUUACAUACAUCAAUGUUUUUCCUAGGAUCUACCCAAUCCUAUCUGGGACAAAUCCAGAUUCUAACCCAAUCUGAAUUUGACUAAGACUCAACCUAACUUUCAACAGCCAAGUGCUAACCCAACUUACAAAGGAAUCCCACAGAAUCAUGAAACAAAAUAGAAAGAUGUACAAAGAAACUCUGAAAUAUCUUAUGAUUUUUUCUCCUGGUUUAACUCACUGCCUUUUACCUUUCGUUGGCUUUUUCUUAUAAACCUCACCAUAUUUUCUCCUAGUUUCUUUUUUUUCUUUCUUUCUUGCUGAAUGACGUGAUCAAAGUGAAAAGAGAGAGGAGAGGGAAGAGAGGACUUUUGGCUUUCGGUGGAAGCUUCAAGGAAAUUAAUUGAAAUAAAUUUGGGGUUCAAGUAUCUGAAAGUGGGAGUAGGUGACCGUAUGAGGCUUGAAGGAUUUUGAGCUCAUUUCUUUAUUUUCACAUAUUUGGUUCAUGGACUUGUGAUAGGGUUUGGCUUAGUUAUGAUGGACCACAGUGUGUGGACUUAAUUGUUUGUUCCUUAGGUCAAGAUGUUUGAUUUAUUUUUCCUGCACACCGAACCAAAUAAAUUAAACCAACAAUUUAUAAUUACCCUAAUUUUGUAGUAUGACUAUUAUCGCUGUUCGAAUUAUGGGUAAUAGAUAUGGCAGUAUAAGUAGUUUCUGAAGGGUUACUUAAAGAAGAUCAUUGAGAUUAUUGAGAUAUAUAUGGUUUCUCAAUUUGAUUAUAGUUUUGAUAUCGCUAGUAAAGAAUAGGAAGUGUAGUGUAGGGCUUCCCACAUAUGCUAACCCAGUUAGCCAAAGCAUGAACAACAUUAAUAAAUAUAACAACAAUUGUAAUAAACCAACAAAAGAAAACAUGACAUUCACCUGAUAGCUCCAGCUGCUGCUUUCUCAAAAUAAACACGUGAGUGCAACCAGUCUUGAAAUUUAAGCAUUUUCACAUAAGUACGCAAAGUCAUUUUCCUCAAGCAAUAUGAGUGAAAAUCAAAUUGAUCUUCAGUAAUAUCUGCAUAAUGUUUUUCAUUGGUAUCUAAUGUAUCUAGACACAAUUGUAACAAUUUCUCAUUGGUAUCUAAUUUAAUUGUAAUCUAUUAUUAUUAUUAGGUUAGAGAUUAACAAAUGCAGCAAAUAUUGGAGCACUGAGAGACAGAGUAGCAAAAUUGAAAUUUACUGCUUCCUUUACGGUGGAAAGGCAGCCAUCACACAAGCAGCUCAUACAUUAGCAAUGAGAGUUCCAAAUGGCAUACAUUUAAACAACCAUGCCCUUUCUGGCAUUGCAGGCUAUCUACUCUAUAGUUCUCAGAGUUAUUACCACUUCCUGAACACAUAUUCAGCUUGUUUAGAAGCCAUUUGAACCCCUUGGCAGCUUCAAUUCCAACAAUGAUGGAAAAUCCAACAAGAAAUAAGCAUGGGAAACCACAUUUGCAAAACAAACCCACUCAGUAAUGCUAAAUGCUAAUCAUCCUGCAAUCUUAUUUCCAUCAUGUCAAAUGAGAAAAUGUCAUUUAAUUCUGCUGAAGUUUGCAAAAUUGUUUAGAGAUGAUUCACUCCUUUUUUUUUCCUAAAUCUUUACCCUAUUUUAUGUGACAUCCUAGAUAAAAGAAAGUUCUAUAUAUGUUUAUUUUUAUGUAAUCCUAGUUCAGAUGGCCAUAAAUUCUAAAAUGUUCACACGCUAGUACGAUUCAGCAACCACGAAUCAAAUCUUAACAACUACUCUCAAAGAAUCCAAAAUUCGAACCAUACAAAAAGAAAGGCAAAAGAAAUAAAGGAUGAUCAAGAGGAGAGAAUGAAACUUGCACUAUUCAACCAACAACCAGACAGUAGCAACUGAGAAUAAGUUACAUGGCUAGAAAAGUAAACGCCAAAUGCAAUUGAAGAUGCCAGUCUAGGGAAGUAUCAAAGCAAUUUGCUUAAAUGGCAUAGAUUUAGAUACACCAUCCACCCACCUCUGACACAUGAAAAUAGAGCAUAUGCACUUGAAAAUUUUUAAUGAUUUCUUAUAUAUGUGCAGUAACACAAUUUUAUUAAUUUGUUUGUUAUAGCCGUUAGUAUCAUUUACCACAACGAAAAUAGAAGGCCAUCUGCAUGUCCACACACAUAAAAUCUCAAGUAAUAACGUUAAUUUGGGAAAAAUUUUCAAAAUCAGUCACCAAAAAUUACUACAGCUGUAAAUAUGAACCAAAAGCAAUAACCUGAAAUCAGUGAUCCAAGUAAAUAUUAGAAUCAUCGAUCAACAAGGGGCUUAUUCAAAUCAACUACAAAGUUCUGUGCCAUCAUCUUAGUAUUGAAUAUGGACAGAGAAUUUGGGUUGAAAUUCAGACGAGGGUUGAAGUUUGGGAGGAAUUUUGGUUUUGAAACUAAGGCACUUCGAAAAAACAAUUAAGAAAAACAGAGAAUUGAAAAAUAGUGUGAAAGCAUACUUUCUCCUCUUUCUCCAAACCUCAAACCCUCUUCUUUCCACCAGUGGUGCACCUCUUGUGCAAAGAAUUCCUAGAAAUACCUGAAACACAACAAACAAACGCAUUAGAUACGGUAUUGCAAUUGAAUUCUAUGAAAGUAUAAAAAAAUUUGGCAGGUGCCGUGGAAGCUCCACUGGGAAAGGGCUUCUUUUUCUUCUUCUUCCUCUUUGUCAAAAGAUAAUUUGUUUCUUCUUCAAGAUCAAGUUGGUACAACUUCUUUGAAUCAAUUAUUAUAAAAUGAACAAUUUUAAGAGAAUUAUUAUAAUGAUUUUACCGACAAUGAUUUACAACAACAUUUAGAUAAGAAACAAUGUGAAUUAAUUGGUUAGUAAUUCAACAUCAUCUCAAAAUACAAGGAGAAGAAAAAUCUAAAAAAGACAGAACAGGAGAAGUGACGAUGCAGGGACCACCAACGGACUACGGUCUACGGCGACGGCGAGGUCCCAAAACCAGAAGACGACGAGCGACGACGACCCGAUGAGUUGCUUCUGUCGCCGACAACGAGGAUCCCAGGAAAGGCCGCGACACGUGGAGACGCCAGCGAGUGUGACUGAGACGAGAUUCGAGUGUGACUGAAAGAGACUGUAGUGGGCUAGUGUGAGAGAGAAGAGAGAGUUUCAGUCUGAGAAUUGAGAGAGAGACGUUCUUUGAGAGAGACGUAAGAAAACCGAGGAAGAUGAAGAAAACCAGAACAAUUCUUUUGAAUUUUUUUUUGUUUUUUAGAUGUGUUCUUUUUUUUUUUGUAUGAAUGAACAUCAGAAAUAAGGGUUUAUGGAGGAGUAUAAGCAUGAUUGACUGUACAUGAAUAAUCAAUCAGAUGUUGCUUUAUUUUUAAAUUAUUUAAGUUUAUAAAUAUAAGUUAGCUCAAUUUUAAAAUUUGAUUAAUUUAAAGAGAUAGAUUUUGUCCAACAUAAAGAAAAGGAUAUUUAAGUCUUUUUAUAAAAUUAAAUAAAAAAAUAUUGCGCGCGGUCAGGUUGCAGCGAUAUUAGCGUGGGAUGCAUCGGCGUCGACAGGCUAUGGUGGGUACAACGGCGCGGGAUGAGAUUGCGGCGGCGUGCACGGGCAACGGCUGAACGGCGUUAGGAAAAACGGCAGUGUUUGAUGCAUCGGAAUGGCCGUCUCCGAUACCGACGACGAGUUUUGGGAGUGGACCGGAGAUUGACGACAAAUUUUGAGCAUGAACAAGAAAUUAGGAGAUUAUAGUAAAAUUGGAAAUAAUAGUAUGUAGUGCGAAUGUGUAUAAUUAUUAAUUCUAAUUUUCUAAAAUUUAAAAUUUGUAAUUAAAUAAUUAAUUAAGAAUCUAAAUUUUAAUUUUUAAUUUAUUAUUUUAAAUUUAUUGUAGACCGAUUCAAGAUAUAAUUUAUCGAUUUUUUGGCCAAAUUAAUUUAUUUAAUCUAAUUUUGAUAAAAAUAACAUAGUUUCAUCAAUUAUAUAUAUUAAAUUUUAAUUAUUUAAAAAUAUUCCUUUUAAACGUAUUGACGUGACUUUCGCAACAAAUAUAUUUUAUCCUUUUUUUUUUUAAUUCCUUUUUGCAUGGAGCAAGAAGCCCCUAUCCUCAUGUGCAGGCAUUUUUGCUAGCACAACCUUUAACUGAGGGACCUCACAACCUUUAACUUUCCAGUGCUUUCCUAGCUUUUUGCUGCCGCAGCACCAUCGAUCUCGUUCGAUCGGAGAGAGUGAUGGCGGAAUUGGAUGUUGCUGAGUCAAAAAAAAGGACAAACGGAGCAGGUUGAAAUGGCGAAGGAAGCGUGCCUUUGCCUUGUGUCGUAUGAAAAGUUGUUCGUGAUCAAACUAAGCAAUUUAAAGAAACAAGAAGUUGAUGUCAAAGAUUGGACUUGUUUGCCACCACCAGAGUUCGAUUUCGAUUUGAAACUUCCAAAGUUUGAUAUGUGUCCUUUCGAGUUCGACUCCAAGAUCUAUAUGGUGUCCGGGGAGCCGGGUAGAAUCGGGAGUGCGAGGGUCUCCUGGCCUAUCUACGAAUUCAAAUUUGGGGAGGGCAGUUUUGAGCGUGCGGAAUCACUGGAUGAUGCACCGCUCCCUUUUGACAAAGCAUUCAUGGCAAACACGCCAGGCUCAGGCGAUGUUUAUUACUUCUAUAUGGAAUCACCGGUCAAAGGUUCACCUGACUGUUACGUUCUUUGUUCUGGAUCUAGAACUUGGAAACCCUUAAUGGCUCCUCCGACCGUCAGCGACCCACCUUUCCGAUUUAACAUGUUCCUCCUCGACAACAACAUCUUUCUUUCAUCGAGGAGAAACAGAGACACCUGUUUGGCCCGCUUCGACCCCAUAAAAGAGAAUUGGACGACUGAACCGGCCGCUGAGAACAAUCUUUCGAACUUCAUAGACACCUUUGCGGGUGGUAACUACAGUAGUUUUAUUUAUCACCCGUACAUUUCUGUGUCCCUUCCGGGUCUUGGCAGCAGCAACUACACCGUUUGCCUCACAAAUGAAUAUGUGGUGGAACCUCCUCCUAAGACACCUUUGAACAAGGUCCUUGCCAUUCUCGUUAACCACCGGAAUAGCCGUGUUGCAUUAUAUCAAUACCUUGAUGAGUGUUUUGAGGGUAUUCAACCCAGUGUGGGAGAAGAUUCCAGGUUAAAUUUUGUUGACCUUGGCAACGGCAAGCUGUGUGCAAUACUCUUUGGAAGUCUAUAUGAUUUCGAAUCUAAUUCAUCGGCGCUAUGCUUCUCAGUUUUCACACUGUCAGUGGACUUUGCAGCAUUGCAACUUGAGGGUGGGGCUCCUCCCAUGGAGCGAGAUUUCUUACAAGUGACUGUCCAUAAGAAGAGUGCCUACACCAUGGAGAUCUCCAAGUUUGGUCAUCAUAUGCGCCACGCGUUUGUUUGAAAAAUUUAGUUUAAAAAUUUGAUUUGAGUCAUAUUUAUAAUAUUAUCGAUUGAAUACAUUAUUGAUUUGAUUAAGAAAACAAGAAAAUAAUAAGAAUGAUGAUAAAGCAAAAAUAAUCUUCCGUCCGGGUUAUAAAAAUUCAAAUCAAGUUUCUAAAUGAUUGAAGGAAAAUAAUGAUGUUAUUUUUAAUUUUUUUAAUGUCAUUCCUGACAUGAUUUUUUUAACAUUAUCAAAAUAGGUCAUGUUCCUAAACAAAAUAAGCUAAUGUAGUGGUCAGUUUUAAACGAAGUGCUAUAGAGGGGUUCUAUGAGUCUAUUCUUUCAAAGAUGAUCAUUGCUACAAAAUAUAAUGAUACAUGCGUAUGGAGUAAAGAAAUUUACAAGUCUCAUUCAUAUAUGAUAAUAUACUACUCUGUACAGAGCCCCAAACUAAAACAAAAGACAGGGAAGCAAAAAGUUAAGAACAAGAAGUGGAAACCUAAAAUCUGAUGGGUGACUUUAUCAACAUUUUCUUCCAAUACAUAUUUCACAUAACCAAACCAUUAUCUCCAGCACAAGCAACAUAGUUUAGUGUAGUCAGUUCUAUUCAAAAUCUAUUAUUUGUUGUAUAAUGGAUUUCAGCUUCAAAAGGCAUUUGAGUCAUCAAAGGUGAAUUCCCCAUGUAAGCACAUCUGGUUCUGCAUGUAGACAUAAACAUUUAAGUUCCGAUUCACUUGCCCCUGGCCACUUAUCUGAGAAAUUGGAAAUCCAUUUUGCAUAUCUUGCAAGUCAUGACUGACAGGGCCGUUUCAGUUCAGGCUGAUGUUCCGACUUCUGACCUAUCCACGUUAUCACAUCUUCUGACAAACUGGUUAAGAGUUCU